rnacentral:lncRNA from 1 species
GGCCAUGUGCGAUUGAGCGUUGGGAUUGCUGUUGGGGAAUUGUGGUGCGUAAUCGGACGAGGAAGCAAAUUGAAAUGGCGGGAUUUGAACGGGGAUUUUAUCGGGACGAAAGGGAUUCGCGCCGUUACGAUUUUUGCGAGGACCGUGUGCGUUUCCCAUCUUUAAUUGCUCUGAGAACUGAAGCUUUCUACGUUCUAUUUUGGGAAUUAAUUGCGUUGCAACGGAAAUUCACCAAACACUGCCUUUCUCUGACGAAUUGCCACCAUGAAUUCUCUCUCUCUCUCUCUCUCUCUCUCUCUCUAGCCGACAAUUUUUUUGGUUUUAAGUUUAUAUUUAUAUUAUAAUAUUUUUUAUUUCCAACACGUGAUUUUUGCAUGUUAUUUUUCUGUUUUAAAUAGACAUUGAUAAAUAUAAUUAUACUAAAAUAUAUUUAAUAUUUAAUUUGUUGUUAUAUUUUUAAAAAAAAAACUAUUUAAAAAAAUAAUAAAAAUUUUAAGUAAACAAAUAUCAUUGUUUGUGUAAUAAUUGAACCGAAAUUUAGCUCGGGAUUAAUUUUUAAAUUCAAAAAUGUAUAAAAAUCUAUUAAAAUUAAUAAAAUUUAAUUUAAUGUGAAUUAUGAGAAAAAAAAUAGGUUGAUGAUGAAAUUAAAAAUAAUUUUGAAAAAAAAUUGAAAAUUUAGGUUCAGAUAGUGUUUUUGAAAGAAAAAUAGAAAAUUGGAGGGUUAGAACGCAAUUAAAAAAAAUUAUGCCACGUAGGACUACCCAGUCAACAGCCCCGACGAACCGGAGCGCGCAUCGUGGCAAGGCACGCUGACUCGGUGCUACGUGGGAGGCCAUGCUAGCAAUCUGCAUGCCACGCGAUCGGACGGUCCGGAAGCGUUCACACGCGCGUGAACAAUCCAGAUUCGUUCCCUCCUCAAGCGCGAUCGGACGAUCGCGAUUAAACAUGAUGAACGGCUCAAAUUCAUUUUCUCUUUAAACGUGAUCGUACGGUCGAGAUCAAAUCACGAUAAACGGUCAAGAUUUAUUUCUCUGUAAACGCGAUCGGAUGGUCGAGAUCAAACGCCAUGAACGACCCAAAUUGACGUAAGAUGGCUAUAAAUAUCUCGCAUCACACCAAACCCAAACCCUAACCGACAGCCUCCCGUUGGAGAAGAAGAACCAAUCUCCGAAAAAGGGAGCCGAUCACCGCCCGCUGCCGUGCCGGAGCCACCUCCGACCGCCAAAAAAUGUAAAAAUUCUCCUAUUCGCUCAAAAUUUGAUUCUGAGCAUCCUCAUGGCCAAAUCGGAGUAAAAGGAACGGCGGAUAAGCUGGAAACCGCAGGUAAAGUCUGGUGGGCUGCGCCGCCGUAGGUAAAAUCCAAAAUCUCUUUCAAUGAGCCCCUUUCUGAUUCUCGUUUCGUGCAAUUUUUCCACCAUUGUGAUCACCGUUUUAUUUUUUACAAGUUGACCGAAGGAAAACGCCAGCCGUGUAGGUGAGUCGGCGAAGCUGCCGCACUGAAAAAUUUCACCACCGGUAGGUUUUUAUUUUUUUGACUUUUUUCAGCCAACAGAAACUUCCUAACAUGUUUUCUCGUAAGGAUGGAUAUAAAAUAAGCUGAAACCGGUCGAAAACAGUCAGACUGAGGCAAACCGCCUCUGCGGGCGACAGUGUAGUCGUCGGAACACGGUGGUGUUGCAUGUCGAAAUCUUGAAAUUGGUCUGAAAAGGGUUUUUAACACCGAUUUUGGGUUUUUGGUGUAUUUUAGGUACGUAAAGCGUAUUUUAAUCUCCGUAGAAAAAUUUAGAAAACUCGAGUACCGCUAGUAGGCGCAGUAGAAGUUCGGUAUUUCAGACACUGAUUCGGAUAAGAAUCCCUCACAUUAUUCUCUGUUAUGGAAUUGAAUCUUAAUUAUAAAUAAUAAUCUAUUUUGUGUAAUCUAGAAAACUUUGAGAAUUAAUUACAAAUUACUAAUAGAGCCGGAACUAGUUAUUUAUUACUGUUUGUCCUGUUUUAACUUAUUGGUUUAUUUUACGAUUUUAAAUGCAUGAUAAUACACUGAAAUUGGUAAGAUAAUUUAGUUGUGUUUUCCUUAUGCAUAUAUUAUUUGUCUUGCAUGAUUUACGGUUAAUUUGUGAAAUUAAAAAUUAAAAUGUAAACGGAAAAUUGGUUGGUUAAGUGAAUGAGUGAAUAGUUGUCAUAUUAGAUAUCUUGGGAGAUGGUGGAUGGACUGGGUACAUAGAGAACCCUACCAUGAAUGUUGUCUCAUAUCAAACGGGGUAUCGAAGAAUGGUAUCUUUGGCUCUCAUGUCGGACGGGAUAUGGGGAUGACCUGAUUCACCCUCAUACCGAACAGGGUGUUGAGGAAUAGUGCUUUUGGCGCUCAUACCAAACAGGGUAUGGAGACGGCCCGAUUCACCCUCAUACCGGAGGGUAUUGAGGGAUGGUACUUUUGGCACUCAUACUUUUGGCACUCAUACCGGACGGGGUAUGGGGACAGCCAGUUAAUUGACAAGAUUUGAUAUGGGUUCACGCGUAAUAAGACAUCCAUAUGGAUCCACAAGGAUACUGGUAAGCAAAUAAAAAGGAAAAGUCAUUGUCCUAGACAUUUGAAGAUGAAAUUAUGAUGUUGCUUGUGUUAUUGCCUCUAUAUUUUAGUUUUGAAAAUCUCGCAACAGUAAGUAUGCAAUAAAUAGUUUUAUUUAUGAUAAAUGAAUUUACUUAAUUUAAGAGCUCCAUUAGUUAUUUUAUUAUUUUUACCAACCUUCAUUUCUGUAUCGGUGAGUAGUAUGAUAUUCUUACUGAGCUAAUAUAGUUCACUCUUCUAUUAAUUAUUUCAGAUCAAGAGGACCAAGAUUCAGAUCACGAUCAACAAUGGGGUUGUAAAAAGUUUACCACCUGAACUCCUUUCAAAUGCUAGUGAAGAUCGUUCUAGGAUACUUAAUUGUUUACUUUUCAUUUAUUUCUUUGAUUUUUCGCUGCUUCUUUAAGAAUGGUCAUUCCCGUAUCUCUAUUGGGUAUUCUAUAUUAUUGUGUAAUAAAUGUAAACUUUAACUCUAUUAUUUUGCUUCCGCAUUCAAUUUAUGAUUUAUUUACUUAUAAAUUCUGGGCUGCUACAAUUUGUAUAAUUAAAUUGUUGAAUGAAUUAUUAUUAAAUUUUAAAGACAUUAUUAAUAAAAUAAAUAAUUUUUUAUAGAUAAAUUUUUAUGUCAUUUAAUUGUUAAACUUUUUUAAGUAUAUUAUUUAUUAUUUUAAAAGUAUUUUUUAUAUGUAUGUGUAUAUAUUUUGACAUUAUAUGAGUGUAUAUAAAGAUAAAUAAUAGUAAGAUGCUGUAUUAAUUUUGAUCCAUAUAUUUUUUCUCCUAUUGUUCUACUUCAUUUUGUUGAUUUGACUCUUGGUUUAAAUUAAUUUAAAUUAAUUUUAAUAAUAUACUUAUGCACACAUUAAACAAAAUUGAAGAACCUUUAUGAAGUAUAAUUUAUUGUUACAAUAUAAAUGUGAUAUAUGUAAAAUUACAUAAAUUAUUAAGUAUCUCAAUAUAAUAUAAAAUUAAUUCAAUGUCAAUAUUGCUAAUUGAUUAAUUUUAUCUAUAUAUUACAUUUUCAAGCAUACACGGAUAUCGAUAUCAUAUUUUUUAAAAAUUGUCAAAAAUUUUAUAGUAAAAAAUAUGUAAAGGCCCAAAAUUAGGGAAAUGAAAAUAUCGAAUUAUAUCAACCAUAAGUGGAAGUAAUUUGGGAAUUUAAGAUUUACAUUCCUUACAAAAUUAUAAUACCUAAUAUUGUUAUGGGAAUGUCCCUUUUUAAGGAUGUUCAAAUAACGAAAUAAGUAAAUAAAAUAAAAUGUAACUAAAAAUCCUAUAAGGUUAACCUCCGCUGAGCAACUCUGAUAGGAUUCGGGAGGCAGCUUUUAUUCACAACUUUCUUACUGUUCAUGAUUUGAAUCUUACUCUUCCUGAUUUGAAAUAGUUAAAUAAGGGGGAUGAACUACACUAACCCAUUAAGAAUAUCACGCUUAACACCGACACAAAAAACUAAAUGUUGGUAAAAAUUGUUAAACAACCAAUAGAGCCAUUAUUAUUUUUUAAAUAAAUUAGUUUAACUUAAAAACUACUAUUUCAUAUUUAUCCUUAUGAGUUUUCAAAAUCGAUGUAAAAAGAUAAUAACUCAAAUAAUAAUAUUAUUUCAUAUUCAAAUGAGUAAUAACAAUAACUUACCUUCUUACUUGCUUACUAGCACAUCUGGGGGUCCAUAGGGAUCCACUUUAUGCGUGGGACCUAAUAUCUAAGUUAUCAAUUAAUCGGUCGUUCCAAUACCUCGUCCAAUAAUGAGCGUCAAACAUACCACCAUCUUAAUACUCUGUCCAAUAUGAGGGUAAAUUAUAACUCUCAACCCCUUCCGGUACAGGACUUUUCAGCCCCGUUCGGCUAAGGUAAUGCCCAUGGUAGGAUGUUUCCUAUAUAUCAGGUCCGUACACCCUUCCCCAGGGUACCCGAUAAACCUUUCAUACAUGGACUCACACUAUUAACUAAUCACCAAUUACAUACCAACAUCUCAUUUUUAUCAAUCAAUAGUAAAUCAUGCAAAUAUACAAUACGUAAAUUAAGAAAACAUAAUUAGAACAUUUAUUUCACUCAAUCGACAAAUAAGAGAACAGUUAGGCAAUCAAUAACGAGAGGACAAUAAAUCUUUAAAUAAAAGUGCACGAGACAAACUAACAAAUAUAUCAAUAGAUAAACAAUAUCGACAAAUAAUUAAUUUUGUACUAACCAGUUACCGACUCCAUUAGUGACCUGUAAUUAAUUUUAAAGUUUUCUAAUUUUUACAAAACACAAUAUUAUUGAUUAUUAAACUUUAAUUUACCAUAAUGGGGAAAGGAGUGAGGGAUAUUCUCCGAACUAGAAUCUGAAACACUAUACUUUUCACUACGCCUCUUGGUGGUUCUCGGGUUUUAUAAAUUUUUCUUGUGAAAAUAAAAAAUACGCGUCACAUAUUCAAAAAUACCCCAAAAAAGGCCAAAAUAAGUGUUUUUGAAAAUUUUCGGCUAAUUUAGGGUUCCAGCACAGCGCCGCCGCUGUGCUUGGGCGCCGGCUUCGCCGUCCACGGCGGUGGUUCCACUUGGCCAGGCUAUUUUUGGCAGAUUUUGACUGAUUUUGUAUGAAAACCUGUGAAAAACAAAGUUAUGAGGGCCUCUAUUGGCCGGAAAAGGGAAAAACCGAGACCCUACCGGCGAAAGGGCCUUUGGGUGCGGCGACUCUACCGUUCCUCCUUUGCGAUCAGGGUGUUUCUUCUACUAACCUGCACCAUAAGGAAAUGAGGAUCACGAUGGUAAGAAAAUCGAGGAAAACAGAAAAUGGAAAGGGGUUUAUCGGAGGAGUUUUCGGGUUUCAACUGCAGCAGCUCAGCCAAGCUCCGCCUGUGUUUUCUGGCUCACCAUCAACCUUUCAGCUCCGAUAUAGGCAUAGGGAGGUUCGAGAUUAAAUUCCAAGAGAAAAAGAGGAAACUUUUACCUUUUUGGCAUCGACAGUGACUCUAGUGCGGUAGCAACAGUGGCUGGUCUCCUUCUCUAGUGUUUGAUUCACUUCCCGGCUAACCCUCUUCUUCUUCUCCGAUCACUUUUCUGUCGGUUAGCGUUUUAGUUCCCUAUGAAGGAGAGUUUAAAUACUCAUCUUCAUAGAUUUGGGCCGCUCGUUCGAGGUGACGUGGCCCAUCCGCAGUCAUUGGAUUUCUCUUAUUUGAAGAAUUAAUUUGGACCACACGAUUUGAUUAAAUCCAAUCGUUCAAUCGCGCUUGAAGAGGAAACGCAUCUAGGUCGUCUGUGCGCGUGGGAUGCAAUCUGAGCCGUUAGAUCCACUGACAUGCAGAUCGCCCGCGUGGAACCGAUGUCAGCGUGUCCACCACGCGAUAUGUUCUAACUCGCUGUUACUGCUGACGUGGCUGUAUUUUAUAUUUUUGUAAUUUAACCCCCUGUUUUAAAUUUCUCUUUCAAACACAUCCCUUUUAUUUACAGUUUCAUCUCAUUUUUUCAAAAUUAAUUUCAAACUCAUCCCUAAAUCCAUAUUAUCCAUAAAAUUUCAUAACAAUAAAAUUAUUUUUAAUACAUUUUUUCAUUAAUAUCAAAUUAUCCCAGACCAAAUUUUAGAUAUGGGUGUUACAACUCUCCCCCUUAAGAAAAAUUUAGUCCCUCAAAUUUGCCGCCCCCUCUCUAGUCAAAUAGUUAGGGGUACUGGGCUUUGAAGUUCGAUUCUAUCUCCUAAGUGGCCUCGUCCUUCGCGUGAUUCUACCAUAAGACCUUGACGAAAGAAAUUUCUCUAUUACGAAAUAUUCUGCUCUUUCAAUACUAAAUACCUACUAGUACCUCAUAUGAUAAAUCCUCCAAGAGUGAAAGUGAUUCAUGAAACAGGAUAUGCGAGGGGUCUGAGUUGUACUUGCAUAACAUAGGCACAUGGAAUACAUUAUGGACUCUAGAUAGCUUCGAAGGUAGUGCUAGUCUGUAGAUGGACAUACCAACCAUGUUUGGAUCUCAAACAAUCUAAUGAACUAGGGAAUUAAUUUUUUUCUCUUUCCAAAUCUGCUGAUACCCUUAAAGGGGGUAGACUUAAGAAACAUCUUAUUGGCCUUCUCAAAUUCUAAAUCUCUCAUUCAGGUGUCCGCAUAACUCUUCUACCUACUCUGAGCUGUAUAAAUUUCUUCCUGAUUCUAACUAUCUUAGUUGUGGUAUUCUCUACAAGGUCUAGCCUAAUUUUCUAUCAUUCACCUCUUCCCAACAGAUCGCGACCUAUAGGGACAGCCAUACAAUGCCAAUACUUGCUUAGUAACUAUUAUUGUAGGUGAAUUCUAUCAGAGGCAGGUGAUCGUCCCAAUACCCUCUGAAGUCCAAAACACAAGCUCUAAACAUAUCCUUUAGUGUACGAAUUAUUCGUUAUGACUGUGUAUCUAUUUGAGAGUAGAAUAUUGUACUGAGAGACAGUUUCGUUCCCAUUACUUGCUGAAAACUUGACCAAAAACGAGAAGUGAACCUGGAGUCUAUGUCAGAUACUACUGUCACCGGAACUUCAUGAGCCUGAUUAUCUCAUGGAUAUAAAUUUUUGCUAGUUUGUCUAAAAAGUCGGUUAUUCUGAUGGCAAGUAAAUGAGAAGACUUGAUGAGUCAAUCAACAAUUACCCAGAUGUCAUCAUGCCUCGAGUGUGCCUUAAACAACUUUGUUACAAAAUCCAUAGUGAUAUGUUUCUAUUUCUACUCCGGGAUUGGUAAAGGCUAAAGUAACCUGCUUGAGCGUUGAUAAUAUGCCUUAACUUGCUGACAUAUAAGGCACUUGGAGACGAAAUCGAUAAUUUUUUUUUAUUCCCAUAAUGGAAUCGCGUGUUUUGAUACAUCUUAAUACUUCCGGGAUACAUGGUGAAUUUUGAACUAUGGGCAUUUGUCAUAAUAUCCUUUUUUAGUUCAUUGUCAUCUGAGACACAUAUCCUAUCUUGGAACUUGAGCAACUCACCGGCAGAGACUCAGAAUUAUAGAUUUAUACCCUAUUCUGCAUCACUUCUGAGAGCUGCUAGGAUAGAAUCAAUCAAUUGAGCUUCCUUUAUUCUUUGAAUCAUUCGAGUUGAACAACUAUAUAGGCUAGACAUGUAGCAUUUUUUAAAUUCUAAAGUUGUAUCUGUUGUGUAGCCCCUAUUACCAUGCAUUCAGAAACCAUUAAGUGAGCCAACAUACCUGCAUUUUUUCUACUGAAUACAUCGGCUACCACAUUGCCAUUAUUUGGGUGAUACAAGAUCUUACAAUCGUAAUUCUUGAGAAGGUCUAUCCAAUGCCUCUAACGCAUGUUGAGAUAUUUAUGGGUGAAUAUAUACUUCAAGCUCUUAUGGUCUGUAUAAAUCUCAAAAGUCCCCAUGCAAGUAGUGACGCCAGGUUUUCAAGGUGUUGAUAAUAGCGGCAAGUUCUAACCCUAUGCAUUGAACUUGAUUUAAUGAAAAUAGUUAUAUAAAAAAUUCUAGAUAAAUAAAAUACAUUUCUAUGUUGAAUAUGAGGGGCUUCACCUUGUUUGCUUUAAUUAUGGUAUCUAUAGUCACAACAUUAAAACUUACUCGAUGCUUACUACUAGUGUCAUUUUAUUAGAUUUGGUUAUCAAUAACGUGUCAAUAGAUUUAUUAAUUAAGAGAUAAAAUUUUACGGCCUAUAAAAAGAAGACGAAGAAAUUAGGAGUCGAAUAUUUGCCUUUAGUUAUUAAUUUUAACAUAUUGUAAAUGAAUUCAAGUCCAAUUGAAUACUCAAUUAAAUUAAAUGUAAGUUAAAAAUUUACGAAGUUGUAUUAAAAAUAAGUUUAAUUUUGAUGACAAACUCAAUUAUUUGUCUUUGUAUUUUUAGCUAUAUUAAUAAAUAUCGUAGUUAACUCUUAUAUUGUGUUUAGUAUAAAAAUAUUUUAUUUGUAAGUUCUUAAAUUUUAGUUGCUCCAUGUUAUAAGAACACAAACACAUAGUGCAAUGUGUGCAAAUUAAAAGUAGUUUUCAAAAUCAAAUUUAUUCCAAAUUUUCUUUUUUUCUUUUUAAAUAUAAAUCCUCAAUUUAAAUUAAAGAAGCUAAUUAAAGAGAAAUAGUGGUUUUAUUUCCUUUUAAAAAGUUAUCCUAAAAAAUUUCUGACAUGCCAAACAUACCAUUGACAUUAUAAAACCCAACCUCCAUAACAAACACCACUCCAUGGCCAACAACACAUCAAGAAACGAUUCCAUCCAGGCCCAGCUGGUUAACGUAGUACUUGGCUUGGCGGCUUUAUUUAUUUUUAUUAUUUUUAUUUUUAUUAUUUAUUAUUUUUUUCUUUAAUUAAUAUCCAAACUACCCUCCCGCUUAAUCAUCUCUCCUCCAUUUCUCUUCUCCUUUCCCUGUCAAUCCGAACUCAUACAGGUAACAGUAAUUAUCAAUGGAUCCAUAGUGAUCGCCAUUGUUGUCUUCUCCGAAUGGGGCCUGUAUUCCGCGAAGGUACAUUCCGUUCUCUCCCUCUCUCAUAUUCUCCUUUAUGUUUCAUGUUAAUUGAUCAAUCUUCUGUUUGAUUGCUGAGAAUUUCUGAGAAAAAGAAAACGAUGAAUAAAAAGGCGUUGUGAUGUGGUCAAUUUGUAUCAUGCAUUGUUUCUUUGAUGGCAAUUAAAAAGAGGAUAAGAUCUGAAGGAUCUAAGCUGCAUUUUAUUAACAGUUCAAUAGAUUUGUAAUGCGAAUUAUUCUGAAAACAUGGUGAAUGGGGAAAAGGGGCCGAGAUGGAUCUGGAGAAGGGGCUGGUGGUGGCGGCCAACAGCCCCAACGCUAUUGCGGACCAAUCGCCGAUGCCAUCUCCUACGGCGGCGUCAACGCCGAGGAAGACCCUGGUUCUAUCGAAUUCCGGCAAGGCUCUGGUUGUAUCCAACUCUAGUAAGUCCCUUGGAGGGUCCAACUCCGGCAAGCGGAUCGAUCAGGUCGGGAAGAAGAAGUACGUGAAGCAGGUUACUGGCCGCCAUAAUGACACCGAGCUCCAUUUGGCUGCCAAGCGCGGGGAUUUGGACGCCGUUAGACAGAUCCUCAGUGACAUUGAUGCUCAGAUGACGGGCACUCUAAGUGGGGCUGAUUUUGAUGCAGAGGUGGAUUUUCUUCCUUAUACUUGUUUCUUAUUUUCUCUAUGUUCAAUCUCAAGGUUGAGAAAAAAAAAACGCAGACGUUGAUAUUUUUAUUAUUCAUGAGUAUGUGUUGAUUGAAAGGUGGCGGAGAUAAUGUUAGCGGUCGUGAACGAGGUGAAUGAGUUGGGGGAGACGGCGCUGUUUACCGCCGCAGAGAAGGGGCAUUUAGGUGUUGUGAAGGAAUUGUUACAAUACACGCCUAAGGAGGCUAUUAAAUUGAAGAAUCAAUCUGGGUUUGACCCGUUGCAUAUUGCUGUCAGUCAAGGGCACCUUGGUAAUGUCGCUUUUCUGUUGCAUAUCAUAGUUUCUUCUCUUUGCCCCAUCCAACAUUGCAUGGAAUAUCUACCUGACUUGUUUCACAUUCUCUUUUCUGUUCAAAUGUCGCUUGAAUUAUCCUCUCAGAAAUGAUUUAAGGAAGUUAUGAAUCUUAAUUCUAGAGAAGGUUCAACGAAUAUAGUGAAGAACAUUUGUAAGGUCUAAACUGUUUUAGAUAUCAGCACCUGUAUUUACAUUCUUCUUAUGCUAUUUAUUUGAAGUCAAGAUAGACAUGUAGAGCAAUUGCACAAGAAACUACUUUGAAGCAUGCUGUUGCUUAAGCAUGUGAAAGGAAAAUUAUCAUGCUAGUUCUAUAGGCUACAAGUGGAGGAAAGGAAGCUACUAAAAGUGCUUUCUGUUUGACUUCUUUUUGUUCUUAAGAAGAAACUAGUGCACAAAACUCAAGUCAAAAGAUAACUUUAUGCAGCUAUUGUCCAGGAGCUACUCAACCAUGAUCCAGAGCUAAGUAAAACAGUUGGUCAAUCGAAUUCAACUCCUCUUACAACUGCAGCUACAAGAGGCCACACAGAAAUAGUCAUGGAGUUGCUCUUUAGAGAUUCUAGCUUGCUAGAAAUUUCAAGAUCCAAUGGCAAGAANNNNNNNNNNNNNNNNNNNNNNNNNNNNNNNNNNNNNNNNNNNNNNNNNNNNNNNNNNNNNNNNNNNNNNNNNNNNNNNNNNNNNNNNNNNNNNNNNNNNNNNNNNNNNNNNNNNNNNNNNNNNNNNNNNNNNNNNNNNNNNNNNNNNNNNNNNNNNNNNNNNNNNNNNNNNNNNNNNNNNNNNNNNNNNNNNNNNNNNNNNNNNNNNNNNNNNNNNNNNNNNNNNNNNNNNNNNNNNNNNNNNNNNNNNNNNNNNNNNNNNNNNNNNNNNNNNNNNNNNNNNNNNNNNNNNNNNNNNNNNNNNNNNNNNNNNNNNNNNNNNNNNNNNNNNNNNNNNNNNNNNNNNNNNNNNNNNNNNNNNNNNNNNNNNNNNNNNNNNNNNNNAAAUGAUUAAAAUCUAGCAAGCAUUUUUUUCCUGCAGAUAGUGAAUGAGUUGUUACUCCUCCCUGAUACUAACGUGAAUGCACUAACAAGAGAUCACAAAACAGCCCUUGACAUAGCUGAAGGACUCACCCUGUCUGAGGAAACCUCAGAGAUAAGAGAUAGCUUGGCCCGUUGUGGUGCUUUAAGAGCAAAUGAACUUAACCAGCCACGGGAUGAGCUUAGGAACACUGUGACACAGAUAAAAAAAGAUGUCCAUAUACAGCUGGAACAAACUCGCAAAACCAACAAGAAUGUAGAUGGGAUUGCCAAGGAGCUCCGAAAGCUGCAUAGAGCAGGAAUCAACAACGCCACCAACUCUGUCACAGUUGUUGCUGUGCUUUUUGCAACAGUUGCAUUUGCAGCUCUUUUCACAGUUCCUGGUGGUGAUGAUGACAAUGGGAUAGCUGUGAUGGUGAGCACACCUGCAUUUAAGAUCUUUUUUAUCUUUAAUGCAAUAGCACUUUUCACUUCUUUGGCUGUUGUUGUGGUACAAAUCACUCUUGUCAGAGGAGAGACAAAAUCUGAGAGGAGGGUUGUGGAGGUAAUCAACAAGUUGAUGUGGUUGGCAUCCGUAUGCACCACAGUUGCAUUCAUUUCUUCAUCAUAUAUUGUGGUUGGUCGGCAUAAUCAAUGGGCUGCAGUUAUUGUUACUGUCACUGGGGCAGUUAUCAUGUCAGGAGUCCUGGGUGCCAUGACUUUCUACGUUGUGAAGUCCAAGCGGACUAGGAAAGAGCGGAAGAAAGAAAAGAAAGAGAAGUAUUCUAGGAAUGCAGCAAACUCAUGGCGCGUGACAAAUCCUUCAGAAACUGAAUCAGAAGUAAACCCAAUUUACGCCAUCUGAUGUUGACUUCGACUCUAUGAUCUUUUUUUGUACCUCAUCUGGCUUUUAAUUAGAAAUUGAAGCAGGAAAGAGUUCAGUUCACGCUCCAACUUCCAAGGGGUCUCAUUCCAUAUAUACAAAAUCUGGAGUCAAGCAAUACCGAUACUAGUUUACAUCUUCGGAAAGUUUCCAGGGGAUGAGUAUACAACAUUCUUCUUCACAGGCCUCAGAUGAAAUAUUGCCGGGAUGGUUGUAUGGUAUGUACGUACAUGCUGAUCUAAAGUGUGAUUUAUUUAGGUUUCUGACAGGUGGUACUCUCUCAAAACCUUGAGAAUAUAUAGAAAUUUUGAAUAUAUGAAUCCAUUUUGCUUGAAACUGUAAGCAAAUGGGAUGAAUUUAACUUUGAAAGCGUACCCUUCUAUUAAGAAAUGGGGAGCAGUAUAUUUUGCACAUAAAAAUUUAGUUGUAUUUUAUCUUAGACAUAAAUAUCAGGUAGUGUAGCAACUAGCAAAUAAUCAUCAGGUGAACAUUUAUUUGAAUAAUUUACUACACUUUUUUAAGAAAAUAUUCUUUUGAAUUUAAUAAUUUACAUGCUUAUGAAUGACAUACUCGUGCAAUGCUGCAGGAUAAUAGUAAAAAUAUGUGUUCUAAAAACAUAAAAAAAUAAAAGAUCAAUUUUAUUAUAUUUUUAAAAUUAAUAAAUAUGUUAAAAUAAAUAAUCAUGGUAUUCAAAUACCUUCACAGUUUUUAUACGUGCCAGAACUGCUUAACUAAAUAAUUUAUUUAAAUUAAAAAUGUUCUCAGUUUUUUUAGUUAAAAAUCAUAUUAAACUCAAAACUGUGUAAUUAAAAAUCCAAAUACUUAUUUAAUUAAAAAAAUGUAUUAAAAUAAAAAGGUUUAUUAAAAAUUUAACUAAAAUUAAAAUCGUCUAAUAAAAAACUACAUUAAAAUUUUGUUUUUGCAAGUGUGAAAAAGAAACGUUGUCGUAUGUAUGACUUUUUCGGGAGUUCCAAAAUCCCGCAAUCUUCCCCCCUUUAACGAUGGUAUCGUCGUGGGCCCGCUUUUUGUGCGGCCGCCUUGACUGUCCGUUCCUGCUUUUCAAGUCAACGACCUUCCGUCUGUUCUUUUCUUUCUCCGUUAAAAACGUCACGUCACCAAACUUAGAAGGGCUUACUUUUACAUUUUAUAUAUCUUUAAUGAGAUUAUAAUCUUUAUGUUUCAUUGGUAAUUAAAUAUAAAACUAAAAUAUUUUUUUAAAUUUUUAUUUAUUUAUUCUUACUUUAUUUUAAAUAUUGAAUAUGACCUUUUAAAAUAUUAGUUAAAGUAAACGAUGUGUAGUUAAAAUAUAGUGGCCUGUUAACUUCCUAUUUUGAUAGGAAAAAAAUCGAAUUUAUUAUUUUUUUAUAAAAAAAGUAAAUAAAUAAUAUUUUAUUCAUAAAAAAGUAAAUUAUUUUUUAAAAAUUUAUAUAUUUCAAUAAUGACAAAAACGACAACAUCUGGCAUGCGUUUCCUGGUCCCUCCUUCCUUCCUCUCCUCGCCCGCGCAACGACGCUUGCGCCACUAACCUUGAACACCACUUGACAGGUGCCAGUAACUCUAUACCUCUUUCCUCUAUCCUCUCCAAUUUUCUUCCCUCACGCCAGAUUUCUUGGCUUCAACUUGAAUUUACAUGCCAGAGAGGUUUACUCCCUCUACUGUAGGUCGGAAAAUGUUUAGUCCAUCCCCGUUUGACAGUCGUCAAGUAGGAUCUCCUUUCAAUCAAAUUGAGGAUUGUUCUUUGUGUUCUUCAUCCCGUUGUGUUGGCGACCCUGCAUAUUGGUAAAUAUGUAUAUGUAUAUAUAUCUAUUUUAGUGUAUCUGGUUUUUGUUUGAAUAAUUUUUUGUUUUCUGCCGCAUAUGUGGGUAAACCUCAUGCACCCAGCAAGUCUUGUAGUUUCGCCAGAUUUUGGAAGUAUGUAAAUGUAAAUGUUUCAAAUUGUUUGACGGGAGACUUUUGAGAAUUCACGUCCCUUAUUUGUUUUUGGCCAUUUAUUUAUUUAGUUUUUGUUCUUUUUCGCGGAGAUGUUGAUAGUGAUAAUUGAUGAAGAAAGAGUUUAUAUAAUAAUGGUUGAUGAUGAAACAAGUUGACCUAAUUUAAUGCUAAAAUUUUGAUUGCAGAAUUUGUCGAGAGUCGGGAUAUGGAUAUGGGGGAAUUACUCUUUCACCCUCCCCACGUGCAUAUCCCUGCAAACAUCUGAAUUAUGCCCUCUCUCAUCAAAUUUUUUAUAUUGAUUUUCUGGCUGCCAUUGGAUAUGCUUUCAAUUGGGUCUCUCAUAACUACUUGAUUCUCUUUUGGUUUUUGGGUUACUAUGGAUGUGGUUGAUCUGGGUCAAUCAUGAAUUCUUGAUACUCUUAACUGUAUAGAACCAAGAGGAGAAGAUUUGUUUUUCUCUUUUUGAUUUCAAGUUGGGAAUUGAAUCAAUGGAGGUUCCGGUAAGGCAACAGAUUUUUCGACAGAAGAAGAUGACAAAACAGUUGACCGCGAAACGGGAUGACACGCCCUUGCAUUCAGCUGUGAGAGAAGGGAAUUUGGGUUUGGUUUUGGAAAUCAUGGGCGAGAUUGAGGGCACAGAAUUGAAGGGUCUGCUGGCUAAACAGAACCAAUUUGGUGAAACUGCAUUGUAUGUUGCUGCUGAAUGUGGUUAUGGUGACUUGGUGAAAGAAAUGAUGAAGUAUUAUGAUGCUAGCUUGGCUGGUAUCAAGGCGAGGAAUGGAUAUGAUGCUUUUCACAUUGCUGCUAAGCAAGGAGACUUAAGUAAGUCUUCUUUUCUUAAGUUAUAUUUUCAUUUUGACAUGUUAUAAAGUCAAAGAUUUUGAUAAACUUCUCUGGUUUCAGAAUCAAUUUGCUGUUUUGAUUUGUGAAGAGAACAAUUUGUCACGUUUAAGCAUGUUAACUUAUUGGAAAUAUAGUUGGACUUGGGAGUUUGGAAUUUGUGGAAUUGGUGCACAAGAUACCAUUUUCUUCGUUGAGUAGUAUAAUUUAUUAUUUAAGUAUUUUAAUUAUUAGUUGAUAUUAUCUAAUUAAAUUUUAUUAGAAUAGUAAUUUUAUGUAAUUAGGAUUAUAGUAAAAUAGUUAUUUCCUAAUUAGUAGUUUAAAAAUUCUAUAAAUACCCAGAUGUCACAACCUAAAAGGUGAGAAUAAAAAUAUAUUUUUUCUUCAAAUUCUAUAUAAUAUCAGAGCAUAAUAAAGAUAUUUUGAGAUUUCUUAUAAUCUUAAAACAACAAAAGGAAGCUGAGGAGAAAGAGAGCUAGACUAGGGGGAAGAGAGGAAAGAUCAGAGGAAGGGAGAAGGCAGUCGGAUCCUUCCUCUACCAUGCACAGAGCCGCGCAAAGAGUGAGCCGGUUUUUUCCUCCACCAUGCGCAGAGCCAUGCGGCCCAGUUUCUUCUUCCACCGCGCGCAGAGAUGCAAAGAUGCUCUCAAUUUUCUGCUUCUUCAGCCGUGCCCAGAGUCGCGUAGGGCACCGAGGUUUCUUUCUUCUUUAGCAGCAUGCAGAGCCGCACGACAACCUUUGGUUUCUUCUUCCUCUGCGCGCAGAGACGCACGAUUUACCUCACUCCAAUCGUACGAAGCCUCUAGCCGCAACUUAUUGGCCUUCUACCAGGCACAAGUUUUCCCCUUCGCCACACGCAGAGCCGUGCGCGAGGAAUUUUUCUAGUCAGCUGUAUUGAGCCGAUCUGAGCUGUUGAGCUGAACUGAUUUCAGCCUGAGCCGAGCCACCUGCACCAAGCCGAGUCGAGUUGUUUUCCGAGCUGAGCAGUUUUUGAACCGAGCUGUUUUUUAGCCGAGCUUUUUUUUCAAGCCGAGCUGAGUCGAGACAGACAGAUCUAAUUUCAGUAUUUUCUGACUUUUUUUAUUAUUUCGGUGCAAACUAUAAGGUCUGUUUUUAUUAUUGGGUAUUUUUCUUCUUAUCUUUAGCACCCUAAAAUGAUAAAAGCAAAAAAGGUGAUGGUUUCUUAUUCGGAUAAUCCUUCAUUGCAAAUCAGUUCUGUAAAACUUGAUGGAACUAAUUAUUUUAUUUGGAUAAGAUCUUAUGCAUUGUUUAUCAAGGUUAAAGGAUUGCAAAGGUAAAUUACAAGUGAUAUGAAAAAACCAGAAGUAGAUAGUUUAUAAUAUAAUAGAUGAGACUCUGAAAAUUCUUUGGUCUCUUGGCUAAUCAAUUCCAUGCAAGCACAUAUUGUACGAACAUCUUUGUUACUCGAUACUGUAGAAAAAAAUAUGGAAUGCGACAUCUCUUACAUAUUCACGAGUGAGUAAUAAUGAGAGAUGACUAUUUCACAAUAUUUUUUUGAACUGAGUAGAUUAUGAUAGGAAUUAGAUUACUAUCAAGAUCUUCAAGUAGAUUAUCCUGCAGAUAUAGUUAAAUUUCAGAAAUUGAUAAAAAAAGAGCGAAUUUAUGAUUUUUUAGCUUGUUUGAACAUCGAAUAUGAUCAAAUACGGAUCCAGGUGCUUAAGCGGUAAGGAUCCUUUUCCUUCAUUAGAACAAAUUUAUNNNNNNNNNNNNNNNNNNNNNNNNNNNNNNNNNNNNNNNNNNNNNNNNNNNNNNNNNNNNNNNNNNNNNNNNNNNNNNNNNNNNNNNNNNNNNNNNNNNNNNNNNNNNNNNNNNNNNNNNNNNNNNNNNNNNNNNNNNNNNNNNNNNNNNNNNNNNNNNNNNNNNNNNNNNNNNNNNNNNNNNNNNNNNNNNNNNNNNNNNNNNNNNNNNNNNNNNNNNNNNNNNNNNNNNNNNNNNNNNNNNNNNNNNNNNNNNNNNNNNNAGAAUUGUAUUAGAAUAAUAAUCUUAUGUAAUUAGAAUUUUAGUAGAAUAGUUAUUUUCUGAUUAGUAGUUUAAGAAUUUUAUAAAUACGUAGGUGUUAUAACCUAAAUGGUGAGAAUAAAAAUAUAUUUUUUCUCCAAAUUCUACAGUUCCACAGUUACGCGUUGAUGCUAUAUCAAUUUCUAUGAAUAGAAAAUUUAAUUGACCAAUAGAUUCCGAAGAUUGACUUUUCUGAAGCUUUUAAUGGAACCAUAAUACCAAAUCAAUGUAUAUCUGUUGUACAAGGCAAUUUCUCCUUGGUGCACUAUGUUAAUUAUAGUAAAAAUUGAAAAGUGUAAUCAGUGUUAUUGAUGGUAGUGUUUUUGGACAAUUUUCAAAUUUCUAUUAAAUCCCUAGUUCUAGUUGCCAAGUUUUCUAUUUGUUAUUUGUAGGUCAAAAAUCAUUUUUGGGAUUCAACUUCUUUCUUAUUCUGGUUAACUUUCUGCUGCAGAGUUGCUGAAGAUUUUCAUUGAGGCUGAUCUUGAACUUUCAGUGACUUUUGAUUCUACAAACACGACGGCACUUCACACAGCUGCCUCUCAGGGUCAUGUAGAAGUAGUGAAUUUCCUUUUGGAUAAAGUGAGCAGCUUGGCUGCCAUUGCUAGAAGCAAUGGCAAAACUGCCUUGCAUUCUGCAGCAAGGAAUGGGCACUUAGAGAUAGUCAAGGCUCUCACGAGUAAAGAACUUGGGAUUGCAACUAGGGUUGACAAGAAGGGCCAGACAGCACUUCACAUGGCAGUUAAAGGACAGAAUGUAGCAGUUGUAGAUGAACUGAUGAAUUCAGAUGAUUCCUUGAUAAACAUGGUUGAUGCAAAAGGGAAUACUGCAUUGCAUAUAGCCACCCGUAAGGGUCGGGUUCAGGUGAUUAAAGCUAUCAUUACUGCCAUAUUUUAGCUUUAACUUUAUUUAUGGAAUGUGGUUGCUCCAGUUGUCAUUGCAAGGUGAUGAACUAGUCCUUGAUUUACUUGUUAUCUGUGAGAUUGAGCAUCAUAACAACAUAUAUGUCCUAUUUGGUUCAAUUUCCAUUUCGUUUCCAAUCCUAAUUUUUCUAUACCUCUUAGCUUAUAGAAUUAGAUCAUGUUUUAUGUUUGAUUUCACACCUCAUCCCCACCUUGAAUAUUUUAGGAGUGAGAAUUCAGUUUCCACUUGAAAAUUUUGUAGGGAAGAUUCUCACCCUUAAAGAAUUCAGGUGAGAGUAUGGGGUGAGAGUAAACAUGUAAAUCAUUUUCUAAUUUAAUAUGUCGAUACUAACCUGAAGACUACUGAUAAAAAUUUAAGUGAUAAUGGAAUGAGAAUUAAAAAGAAAUGCAACCAUAGUGUCUUCCUUUGGUUUGGUUUGACAAAACAAAGAUUUGGUUUUGAAAAGGCUUAUUUACAGAAAUAUCAUUUAAAAUUGAUUCCAGGGAUUAAUUAGGUUCGUGGCUGUUAGCUCUUUCUUAUUUAUAAUAAAAGGUCUUCUUGCAGAUUGCUCAAAAGCUGCUAGAGCAUAGUGGCCUCAACCCAAUAGUCAUUAACAAAUCUGGGGAAACUGCUCUUGACACUGCCGAGAAAGCUGGGCAGUCCCUGGUAGCAGUUAUCUUACAAGAACAUGGGGUCAAGUGUGCCAACUUCAUCAAGCCACAAACAAAAGACACAGCUCGAGAACUGAAACAAACUGUAAGUGACAUAAAACAUGAGGUUCAUUACCAGCUGGAGCACACACGUCAAACACGAAAACAUGUGCGGGGUAUAGCUAAAAGACUCAGCAAAAUACAUGUAGAAGGGCUUAACAAUGCAAUCAGCUCCACCACAGUUGUUGCUGUUCUCAUAGCUACUAUAGCAUUUGCUGCCAUCUUCAGUGUUCCUGGUCAAUACUUUGAUAGCCCAAAAAAUCUUGCUCCUGGAUUUGUCCUUGGAGAAGCACGUAUUGCUCAGAGACCCGAAUUUUUGGUCUUCAUUAUAUUUGACGCAUUUGCACUUUUCAUAUCAUUGGCUGUUGUAGUGGUGCAAACAUCGGUUGUAGUUAUUGAGAGAAAGGCUAAAAAGCAGAUGAUGGCAGUCAUUAACAAGCUGAUGUGGCUGGCCUGCGUGAUGAUUUCAGUUGCAUUCCUUGCACUGUCAUAUAUAGUCGUGGGAGAUAGAGAGAGAUGGUUAGCAGUUAGCAUAACAGUUGUAGGGGCUGUGAUCAUGUUGUCAACAUUGGGGACUAUGUGUUAUUGGGUGAUCAUAAAUCGUAUCGAGGUUGGCAGAUUACGUAGUAUACGGAGGUCAUCAAUGAGCAGGUCAUGCUCACCAAUUUCAGUGUCGGAAUCAGAGAUCUUGACCAAUAAACUCUAUGCAGUUUGACAUUUGAUAUACUGCAUGCUAUUGACCAUAGUUGUCUCCUUGCUCUCCUCGACACAAGUAACGUAAAUCUCAAGCCUAUUACUUCUCAUUUGUGAAUAUUAUAUACCUGAUGUAACAUAAUUUUCAGCCUAUUGUCUAUUGCUUCUCACUGAAAUUCACAAGAGAAUCAUAUUAUUGUUAUUCACCUUAUUUUAACUUGAAAGAUUGACCAACCUUGUUCAUGUCAAUCUUGCUUGUUACUUAAAAUAUUGGCCAUCCAUACUUGUACUAGAGGGAUUACUGUUUAGUGAUUAGAUGAAACUUUUAGACAGAUCUUGUUGGAUUUCACACACUGAAAUAAUCCUACUUGGUUUUGUACUUUCAAUUAGUUUUAUUUUCCAGGUGUUCUUCAUCUAUGGAUUUAACUAGCUUGCAUCAUUUGCAAAAUUUUUCAUUGUUAAUUCUUUAAAAGAUAAUUUGUCAAAUUAGUUAUUAAAAUUUGAUUCUUGUUAUAAUUUAAUUUUUAAUAUUUUUUAUUAUAUUAUGAUCUUUUAAUGUUCUUAAUUCGUUUAAAGUAUUUAUUUUUAUUUUAUUUUAUUUUCUAACGGAGUAAAUUAAAAUAAUUUUCAUUAUAUUUGCAUAUUUUAAAGAAUAGACUAAAGAAUAACUUUGUUUAUACUUUUUUUUUUUACUCUUCCUUUUGUUGUUUCUUUUUUUUAUUUUUUAAUCAUUUUUAUUUUUUUUCAAAAGGCUAAAAAUAAUAAUAAUAAUAAUAAUAUAAAUUAUAAAAAAAUUACACAAUUUUUUAUAAAUUAUAAAAAAAGACAAAUAAGGAUACAAAUGUUUUUUUUUUUGUAAUUUAGAAGUUUUGAUGCAUAUAUAUCAUAGUGGUAAAAGAUCCCUCAAUGCCUGUCACCAUACCUACCCCCUAAACUAACAAAAUAUCUUCUGCUGCAGGCUGCAGUAACAAAAUAAACUACAAGAGAGAUUUCACUUUCUUUUUUCCUCAUUUUAUACAUAGAAACAUGAACCACAAUAAAGUACAAGAAGAUGACAACUUACUUUGCAGAAUUAUAUAUACAUAUAUAUAUAUAUAUAUAUAUAUAUAUAUAUAUAUCUUUUGAUGCCUUGUAUAUCUCCUGACAUGUUUCACGUGCAUCACAAGAAUAGUUCUUCAUAAAAUAUUGGUUUUAUUAUGUUUAAUUUUAUGAUGAUUUGAAUAAUUUAAGUUUAUACCCAUUGGAAUAAUUUUAUUGGUAAUUUAAUUUAAGUUUGAGUAAUGUCUAAUUAAUUUGGUAAAAUAAAUAUUUUAUACCAAGAUAAAGAAUAUCUUAUGAUCAUAAUCAUUACGUAAGCUGUUUAAACAUUGUCUAAAUAAAUUAAAUUUAGUAAUGAUCGAACUUCUUGUGAAAAUAUAGAUGAGAUCAAAUUCACAUUUAAUUAUUCAAACAAGGAAAUUCUGUGUGGUUUCUGGUUAAUCCAUUUUCUUUACAAUUUAAUAUUUGAUUUGAAAUACGGGAAUCAAUGUUAUUUAUUGAGAUCUUCGUUCUUAUAACUUUAUUUUUUUUAAAAAAAAAUAAAAAAAAUAAGUAAAUAUUAUUAUAAUUGAUUCAUUUUUUUUUUUAAAAAAAAUAGAUUGAAAAAGAAAAAUUUAUCGAAAAUUUCUUUCAUUUUCAUAAACUAAUAGAUAACUGAUUAUAAAAGAAACAUAAAUUUAGACGACAAUAACAUAUAAUUCAUAUGAUAUUGAUUUGGAUGUCGGAAAAAAAGAUGAAAAGUUUAUGAAUCAUUGAUCUAUUCUUUUCACAAUAUCGGAUAAAGAAAAUUUUAAAUUUAUCGAAAAUUUUUUUCAUUUUCAUUUAGUAUAAAUGAUGACUAGAUGAGAAAUAUUAAUUUUAUAUGACAUUACACUUUAGAUGUAAACUUGAAGAAUCAUUUUGAGUUCUACCUUCUAUCUAAAGUGCAAUUUAUUAUGAAGAAUUAUUGUUGAUUAAUUCUAUAUUAUUGAUCAAAUGAGGGAUCAUUUACAAUAGGAUAAACAAGCUACUCUACUCCUAAUACUGCUGGAGAACUUACUAUUACAAUGAAUUCAGUCACACCCACUUUCUCCCUCAAAAUAAUAAAGAGUCCAAACAUGAACAGGGAGAGAUUAUCAACGUAGUCAAAUCAAAAGCCAUGAAAUUUCAUAUUCUGGAAAUUCCAGCCUAAUCUCUGAAGCAUACUUAGCUUGCAGCUUUCCGUGGGUUAAACAAGUGUUGGGACUGUUUGCAGUGAGCUAUUGCUCCUUCAAUUGAGUUCUCAACCUCUGAAUUAGCACUGCUGCUCCUCUUCAAUAGUUGCAGAUCAUAAUGUCCAUUUGAACUGAACGAAAAAGACGAAGACCCAGAUGAAGAAGUUGAUGAAGAACACGACGAUGACUUCGUUGCGUAAUGUCCCGAGAAAGAUCUUCUUUGGGAAAUGGCAAUAUCGUGAUCAACCAUCUCUCUUUCAUUGGUCUUGUAAACGCAGUCAGUUCUUCCAAAUGGAUUCCUCUUCCCCAUUCUGGUGUACUUAUUUAAACUCUCAUUAGGCUUGUCUGGUUUGGCAUUAGAUGUAGCCUUGGUGGAAGACUCGUUUGGACACCCGGAUUUACUAAACAAAGACUUGAUGUAUGCCCGUGAAGCCUUCAGCUUUUGAGCUAGUGAGAAUUUCUUGAGCUUUCUUGACAAUGAAGUAGUAGAAUGGUCACUGAUGAAACUACUCACCUCGAUCGACCAUUCGAAGAAGUGCUCAUCUGGGUUUAAGUCACCGCUUAAUCUACCAGACUCACAUGGAGAUAUGGUGUAAGAUUCCAAGUGGGUAUUGAUAUCUUCAGAGUUUUGUUCAAAGGUUGAGCUAUGGAGGAUCUGCUGAAGCAUCUGGAGGCGGCGUGGGAGAUGAAGAGGGAGAAGUUUGCCUUUGUAGAAAAGAUCAUCAGCAGGAGAAUUUGUGGGUUUACCAUCAAUAUCAUUUGAAACUGAACAUGUUUGAAACUCAAACUCCUUGCUUUGAGGUGGAGAGUUUAUUGAAUAACACAAGAAAUUUGAAUAAGAACUCAACUCUAUGUCAAUGAAAUCUUCAUGAUGAUCUCCAUUAUUACAUGAAUCUAAUUCCUUUAUUGCCAUCUUUUUUUUUUUUUUUUCUCUUGUUGAUAUUUAGUGAGAGAAGAAGAGGAAAGCAAGGCCGGACUUAUAAAGAGACGAAAGAUGGAGCCAAUUCAAGAAAUGAUUUCCUUUUUUCAAAAAAAAAGAGCAAGGAAAUUUCAUAUUUUUUCAACAUGUCAUAAGCUUCCAAAUAAUAAAUUUCAGAAAAAAAAAAGAUUCAGCAACCAUUUUCACUACUGGCAAAUUGACAACCCACUCACUCAUCCAUAUCUUCAUUUCUUUAUAGCAAAAGCUUUCUUUCUUUUUCAAAUGUUCUAAUUCCUACAUUUACAUCUAUCUUUUUUCAUGGGUUUAAUCCCAUAUUCACUACCAUUUACUAUCUAAUUUGAUUUUUUUUUUAUUUUCUAUAUCCUAUCGACUAUUUAGUUUACUUUCAUUUUAUGUAAAUGUUUUGAACUCUCUCUUGGCUUGAUAAUUAAUAUGUUUGCUUUUCCAGGAAUUUUUUUAUUUGCCUUUUAGUUUAAAUGAUUCUUACAUGGGAAUCUAGUGGGCGUUGCAUUGAUUGCAGGUGAUAGAAGUACAAUCACUUACCUUCCAGAAAGUACAUUAUUACGUUCUCUUCUCUUUCCACUCAGUUUCAUAAGGUGGACCAAAUUUUGACCAAUAGUAGACUUUGAAACAAAAAAAAAAAAAAGAAAGAAAGAAAGAAAGAAAGAAAGAAGGGGGUUUCCCUUUUAGUCUUUACUUAUAAUAUAAAGUUAAUGCAUAAAAGAUUUAAGAUUGAAUUUGCUUGAAUAUCUAAUGUAUAUGAUUGAACGAGAAUAGUCGAGAGGUAACAAGGCAAGCAUGAUGUUUUUGGAAACUCAUGAAAAGCAUACUUUGAAUUUAGGUGGUUUUUGUUCAAGGUUGAGUGAAUCUUUCACUAAAAAGAAGACUGAUGACAGUUUCUCUUGUUUUUAUUGCAAGUUUCAAUGUAAAGUAAGGCAGAACCAAACAGUGUUCAAGAAAAUGAAAGACGAAGCCUGUGGAAUCUUAACUGCAUAUUUAUCAUACUGUAAUCUACAUGGGAUUCUUUGCCUUUCUUUUUUAAUUUUUUAUUACAAAAGAUGCCAGCUUUUUCUGCAGAAGAAUAUGUAUCUACAUAUAUAACACACCCUUUAAAAAACAGACCAAGAAAACAAUAUUGAAUUUGGAAAAUGAGAGAAUCAUUCUGUAAUUUUUCCCCGUGUUAUCUACAAACUUCUCUGCAACAAAAAUUAAAGAAACUAAUGAAGAAAAAAACGAAUUUUUACAAGGUUGGUUUUUCUUCUUUUCUUUUGGGUUUUUUACAUUAGGAUUCAAUAAUGAAGAGGGUCCCCAGUUCCAUUGAGUUUCUCUUGAAAAAACCCUAUAAAUUGUAGAUAUAUAUAUAUAUAUAAAUAUAUACCCAUAUGGGAUAUUAUGGGUAUGAUAGGUUUGACGAUGAUUAUUAAACCUAGCAAAUUACAAGCAGAAACUCCAACAGUUGAUGGUGACUAAACAUUGAAGAAGGGGAACUGAGCUGUCCAGUGCCUGUCUUCCUAUUUUAGCAUAAAGAUUACUUUGUAGUACUACUUACUCUUCAAUUCUGAAUAGUUAGUUCUUGUCUCCAUCAAGUUUUUGUUCUUUGCAUAUAAUGUGCUUUAUUGUUUAUAAACAUAAUAUAACUCAGAAAUUGCAUUGCCCCAAAUUACAAUUCGACAACAUAUAUGAUCUAGAAGAAGUCGACAAAGAUGAAGAUGAAGAUCAUGAAAUGUACUUAUCUUGUCUUUUAAUUGUUUUUUCAAGUUAACUUGAAGUUUUGGAUAUCCGAAGGAGCUUGUGUUUGUUUAAUCCUCCGAUAGAGGACAAUAACGGUAGUAAUACUUGAGUUAACCCUAAGUUUAUGCUUUUCAAAACUCAAAAUUUAUUGUGACAUAGCACUUAAUAAACUUGAAAACAAAAUUCGAUUUAAAAUGCUCAUGAAUUUUAUUUUAUUUUCUUUAAUUAGUUAAACAUACUUUACUAAUUGGUGUUCAAUUAGAUUUUUUUUUUAAUUGUGCGCUUUUAUUACUAAAAUUUAAAGAUCGGUCCAUUAGUUGCAUUAAUAAACAUCAUAAUUUGAAUGAUAGUGAUAAAUAGAAGAUUCAUAAAUAUAAGUUAUUUAAACUACUGAUUAAGUUUUCUGUAUUCUCUAUUCUACUUUAAAGUAAAAGUCUUUCUCUAACUUCGUUCUUGUUAUUAUUUUUCUUCAUAUUUAUUUUCUCAAUUAUUUAUAAUGUUUCAACAACUUGACAAUUUGAUAUUAGAGUUCUUUGUCCGAGAAGAAACUUCAUCUUCUCCUCUUGUGAUGGUCAAGAAAAAAGGGUAGACAACCUUAAUUGAUUACCAACAUAAUUAGAAGCUUGAUGACAACCAAAGGGUUUAAUUACAAGCUUAAUGACUUCGUGAUGGAAUCUAUAGGGCACUCUAAGUCAAGACAAUUGAGUAACAUGAGACAUAAAAAUAAAAUCAAUUGUGUAACGGCCCCGAAAAUUCAAAAGAAAAUACAUAUAAUAAUGUGAGUGUAGAAGUGAAAUAAAAUAUUAAGAUUAACAUAUUUUACACAAUAACUUAAAAGUACUAAACAACAUCACAUAAUAAGUUCUCUAAAAAAAAUAAGAAAAAUGAGAAAAAUAAAAGAAACUAUAAAACAUCUAGCAUCUACUCACAGUUUUCUUGUGGAUCGGGCUCGGGAAUGAGAUCCUCCUGAUCUGAAAUGGUUAAAUAAUGAAUGAGCUAUACUAGCUUAGUAAGGAUAUCACACUAUAUCGCCGUUGCAGAAGCAAAUGUUGGUAGAAAAUUAAAAACAACUAAUGGAACACAAAUUUUAAACCAAUACAUUUAUUUAAAAUAAAAUUAUUUACCAUUUUUCUUACCAUUGGAGAACCUGUGAAAACAACCUAUAAAGACAAUAACAUCAUACAGAUCACAAUUUCAUGCGUAAUCAGUAAGAUAAAAUAUAUCAUAAAUCCGUAUUCAUUAACAAUAACUUAUUAUCACCGUUUUUCGUUUUCACCAGUCUACUAAUAUUCAUGAGGAUCCAUAGGGGUGUUCCCGUUACACGUGAACCAUUUUUCUUAACAAUCUUAAUUUCAGGGCCGUCUCCAUACCCCGUCCGGUAUGAGCACCAAGACAUUAAAUCUCAAUACCCCGUCUAGUAUGAGGGUGAAGCGGGUCGUCCCCAUACCCCAUCCGGUAUGAGCACCAAAUGACCAAGUCUCCAUACCCCGUCCGGUAUGAGACAACGUUCACAGUAGGGUUCCGUAUGAACCCGGUCCAUCCACCAUCUCCCAAGAUAUCUAGUGAGGCUGUCACCUUAUCUGUUUUUCAUUAGUCUCCGUUACCAAGUUGAACAUAAUCACAUAAACAAUAAACAUGUACCCGGUAAUAGAAUCAUAUCUUAAUUUUCAAAAUCACACAGUGUCAGUAAGUCAGUAAUACAUGCAUUUAAAACUAUAGAAUAGAUAGACCAGAUACCAUAAUACAUUUAAACUGUAAAAUAAAUCAAGUAGGAAUCGAUAUAGAAUAAUGUCCUGUUCGGGCUCAAUUAGCAACUUUAAUUAAUUAUGCAUAGCUAUUUAAUUUGUACAAAAUACAGUAUUAUCAUUUAUUCAAACUUCAAUUUCAUGAUAGAAAAUAGGGUGAGUGGUUCUUACUUGAUUUGACGCCGAAAACUGGAUAGUUCUUGCGCCUACGGGUGGUCCCUAGGUUCCUUGAAUUUUCCUUCGGGAACUGAAACGCGCUUACGGUACUUACAAGUGUCUCAAAUAAACUCAAAAAUCAGACCCAAGGCCUACUCAACCAAUUUCAAAAAUCUGGCACUGUGGCUCCGCCGUGCUCCGACGACUGGCGGCGAUCCACAUCGGGUUGGCUGUUUUCGACCGAAUUCAGUCAAACUUGCAUCGGUUCCUGUGAGAAAACACACUUAGGGCCCUCGAUGGGCUGAAAAAACGUAGAAAAUUGAAACUAACCGGCGGUGGGGCUCUCUGGUGCGGCAGCUCCUCCGGCUCACAUUACGGUUGCGUGUUUUGCUCCGGUCAACCUGUAGAGGAGGAAACGGUGAUCACAAUAGUGAAAAAAUCACAUCGAACGGGAAUCGAGAAGGGUCUCAUCGGAGGCAAAAAUUGAAACACCCCGCGGUUGCGCCGCUGAGCUUUGGCGGCAUUUUCCGGCCAAUUGGUCGGUUCUUUCACUUUGAUUUGGCCAUAGGUGGGUUUGGAAUCAAAUUCUGAGCAAAUGGUAGAAUUUUUACUUCGUUUGGCGGUCGAAAAUUGCUCCGGUGCGGCGGCGAGUGGCGGCAGUCGGCUCCCCGGCAGCUUGGCUGUCUUCUUCGAUGAGGGGCUCUGGCGACUAGGGUUAGGGUUUGGGUGCGGAUGGGGUUAUUUAUACCCAUCAGCUUUUGAUCUGGGCCAUCCAUCGCUUUUAAUCUGGACCGUUUGAUCGCGAUUAAAUAGGGAGUGAAUCUGGACCGUUCAUCGCGAUUCAAUCUAGGCCGUCCGUGCGCACGAGAACGGAUCUCAGCCGUUCGAUUGCACGCACGCAGAUCGCCCACAUGGCUCCCCCCGCGUGGCCUCCCGCGUCAGUGUCUCUACCACCUGGCGCGUCCUUAUUGGUCGGGGCUGCUGACCGAGCAGCUGACAUGGUGUAACUUUUCUAAAUUGCGUUUUGACUCCGAUUUUUUAUUUUCUUUCAAAAAUACCCUAAGAACCCAAAUUUUCACCCAUUUUUUUCAAAAUUAUUUUCAAUUAAAUUCUCAAUUAUUUUUUUACCAUUUUUAUUAUUAUUAUUACUAUUAUUUUCAUUUAAUCAAAUUAAAAUAAAAUAAAUUAAAUUCAAUUCAAUUAACACAUUUUUAUAUUUAUAUAGAAAUAAUAAAAUAACAUAAAAAUAAAUAAAUAAUAAUAAUAAUAAUUGGGUGUUACAAAUUGUUAUUAGAGCAAUAAUUUAAAAGUCUUAUCAAAGUGAAGACAAAUACAUUUUGUGCGUUUUAAACCAAUUAUUCAAGUAAAUCUUUCUUCUUCUACCAUAUAUGCUACUAGGGUAUUCUAACAACUUUCUAAACUUAAAGAAUUAGUGGAAAAAGUUAAUAGCUCAAGUUUCAUGAGAAACAUUUUGCAUAACUUAAACCUAGCUGGAUUAAAAUUCCUUUAUCCAAUGGAUAAAUUUUCGAUGUCAUGACAUAAAUACUUGAAAUAUUUUCAAGUUAAUGAGGUUGUUGAUAAUCAAAAGAUUGAAUUAAUAACUUUAGUUUUGGUAGAAAGCAAAGAAUUAUGUAUAUAAAAUCUGACUUAUUAUUAUAGAAAAUUUAUACCGCUAUAUUUUACAUCAUAUUAUCUAAAUAAUUUUUCAUUUGUAGAAUUGUAUGUUAUUACACAUCACAUCACAUGAUUUAAGCGACAUUUCUACAUGUGAAGACCGUGUUGUCGCAGAUCACAUUACAUGAUUUGAAUAAUCUUUUUAUGUGUAUGGUAUGUUGUUCCACAACAAAUUCCACUUACAUAUGAUUCAAAACCUUUACAUAUUUUCUUUCAAAAAUUUUCUUACAAGUUUGAUAUGUUUCGAUAAAAAAUUAUUUUGAAUUAUUUUUACAUAAAAACACAAAAAACUAAUUUUCUAAUUUUUUAAAUGAUUUAUUCUUGAUAAAUUAUAUCACAUCACAUUUAACAUUUUAAAAAUAAAAAAUGAAAAAAAUUAGAAUUUCCUAUGUAUAAAUACACUAUUACACUUCUUAAAUCUUCCAUUUUUCUUUUUCUUUUUUUUUUUUUGCCUUUUAACCAAUGACACCUUCAUAUAAAAAAAAUUUAAGAAUUUUUCAUUCAUCAAAAUCAAUUUAAAUAUUUCAACAACUAUUUUCUCUUAUCAUGGUUGAAUACUCAUGCAUAAAAAUACGGAAUUUAUUUAUCCCUCUUGAAGGGCUUAAGAUAAAAAUUUCUCUAAGACAUUACUUAAGAAUCUUUCCUUAAACUUUAAGAACAAUUUUUGAGCUUUAAGUGAAUAAAUUCAAUAACCAAAGUUGCUAGCCAAUGAGAGAUCAAACAUCUAUUAUAAGCACUAUUAUAGAUAAGUCUAAUUUAAUUUAAGAAAAUAACUUCUCAAAUCUCAUCAUCUUAUGAGCAUAAAUUUUUACAUUAUCUAUCUGACAUAUAUAUAUAUAUCAAGAGAAUGUAUUUGUUUCUUACAUAAAGAACCUAUCUAUUAAUAGGUAGUAUAUAAAUAUAUUUUUUCUAUUCACAAUAUAUUUAAAAAUCUCUAAAAGCAUAUAUUACUAUAGACGUGAUUUAAGAAAAUAAUGAAUUUUUAAGUACCAUUUGCAUGACUUUGGACUCAAUAACUAGUUUGAUUAAGACAAUUGAAAGUAAAUAUAAUAUCUUAGGAUUAAAGUAUAUCUUAUCAUGCAUAAACAUUUACCUUGGAACUAAAUCCACAUAAUUCUUUACUACUGUUAUGAUUAGAUCCUUACUUGAUGCGCAAUAAAAAUCCCUCUAGCAAACUUACUCUAAGAACAAGUAUGUAUAUAAUUGUCACAAUAUCCAUAUAUUAGUGUCAAGUAAGAUCAAACAUUCACCAUAAAAUGACAUGAUAUUUCCUAGUUUAUUUGGAUAUAAUGGUGUUCAAUCAAAUUAUUUUUUGUUACUAGAGAUACUUAUGAAUUGUGUCUAAAUUUAGUGUAUCCCAUUAUUAUGAUCUUACCACAACCAUAUUUAAAUUAUAUAGUUUAUAGGAUAGUUAUUAUUAUAAAGCAACUUAUGAUAAUUUUUUUUUUUACAUCAAUAUGAAAUGUUUAAUUAAGUAAGAUUUGAAAUGAACUAUACCAAUAUCAGUUUAUCUAGAUUUAGUAUAAUUAGCUUGUCAAACAAACUAUUACUAAUAACCCCAACUUUCAUUUAAAGAGCCCUCUCUUGAAAUAGCUCUUCUUAUAAUAGUAUAUGUGACCCUUGCCAUAAGUUUAUCCCAAGUCCUUGUUGGGGUUAUUUAUUAAACUUUAUUUAAUCAUUACUACUUUUAUCGUUUGGACAAAAUCCAACCUUAACCAUGAACUUUGGUAGUAGCUUUUUCUUAUGAGAAUUUUCACAUUAGCUUUAGGUUCCUUAUACUCGUUAGUAUUGUAUUUAGGGCUACCAUGAAAAGAACAAUAUCUUGUCUUAUCAUGCUUGUUAUUCUUGGUCUUUAGGCAUGAAAGCCAUUAGAGGAAGUCCUCAUCCCCAAUCUUAGUAAGAUAUGAAAGGGACAUGUGUUGAAAGGUGUAUUAUUCAUAGGUUUCUUAUGUGCCCCAACUUCUGUUUGCCAUGAAGGAUCUAUAGAUUUUCUUCACUUAAUGUCACUUUUAUCAUUCUCUUAUUCUUUUUUUCUUCCUCUAGGCAGGUAUUUCACCAUCCUCCUAUAUAUGAAUUAACUCUUCUAUAUUCAUGUACUCUUAAGCUUCAGCAAACAACUCUAUUAAGAUAUCAGGUGGACUUAUAAAUAAAAUUAAAAGAAAAUAAUCAGAUGGUUUAUCCCGUUUGAUAUUGUUGUAAUUAUUUUUUCCUUAUUCACUUUCCCAAUCGUGGCAAAUUAUGCUCAAAACAUAUGACUUAGUCCCAUAGGGAUUCAUUCUUCCUCUUCUAACACAAAAGGAAUUAAUAGAUAACUUCUUAGGCUUCCAAUUCCAAUUAAUCAUGUUAGGAAUCAACCAAUUUCUUAAAUUUUUUGAUACUCCCUAGUUCCAGUAUUGGAAACUACUCACAAGCACUUUUUAUAAGGGUUCAAGGGAACCUUUAUAAAUACCAAAGCAUUAGAGCUCCAUGAAACUCCAUAGUAUCUUAUAGUAGUCUAAAGGGUUAAUGGAGUUCUCAAUGUUGUCAUUUUAAUUAAUUUGUGGAGGCUAAACUUUAGUGGAAUGACCUCAUUUAGAAUACUCUGUAUAAAAGAUGACCUUUUAAAAUAGCCGAAAUGGAAAAUAUUUUUUUUACAUAAAACUUGUCCUUUAAUUAAUAUGUGAAUUCUCAAUUGAUUACAUUAACUUUUUCUUAGUCUUAAUAAAUUGGCUGCAUUAGCUUCUCACCUCAUCUUAGCUACUGUCUCACCUUACAUUACCCAAACAUACACAAAUAUUAGUUCAUUGAGGUCACUAUAAAUCCUGAAGGUUCACCCUCCAAGCCCUUUCUAAUGGUGGCUUUGUCCUACAUCAACUUUGGUCCUCAUUCCAACGCUUAUCUCCUCGCAAGUUAAGGUUUCUCACUCUCAUUCAAGUCUAUAUAUUUAUGCUCCACUAUAUGCUCUAUUCGCUUCAUUUUCUCUAGUUCUUUCUGCAAAGUUUCUAUAGCUUGAGUUUUCUCACCAAUCUCUAUGACAAGUACUUGCUUUCCUUUUGAUCGACCAUUUAGUAUCUCUUUGAUUCUCUGUAUCCACCGAUUCUAUCAGCUUUGGAACGUGAUUUAUUACCCUCGAUUGUAAUUAUAGUCCUUUUCUUUCAUCUGAGGAUAAUGACUUUCAAUUGUUAUUCUACUCUUUUGUUAUGAAUUGUGUCAAAACCAUUAUAUGCAUGUGCUCAUAUAUAAUCUGGCAUUUUAUGAUUGGAGUUUUUUGCUCAUGGACUUUUAGGUGCUAAAUUCUUAUACAUGCGUGUAUAUAUAAAAGUUAUCGACUUCAAUGAGAAAAAAAUCAAAAUUCAAGCAGAAGAUAUUUGUACAAAUGUUGGAUGCUUUUUACCGGGUGAUAUUUCUUCACAUGAUUAGCCGUUGUAUGUCACAAUCACAUAAAGCAACAGCAUAGAACUGGGAAAAUGAAUAAAAUAAAAUUUUCGGUUUAAAAGAAAGAAAGAAAUAAAAAAGAAAAGUUUAGGAAGAUAAAUUGGUUAAAGGUGGGUUUUAUUAUUGUGAUAGCAACAACACUCACAGCAGCAGUCGCAUGAUGGUAAUCCUGAAUAAAGUGUGGCAUUUUAAUAAUGACCCUGCGUGGACAUUUUUCAAAUUUAAAGGGUUCUGCAAAUUAUUUUCCAUUGACUUCAAAACCUGCAAUGACAUUUUUUCAUAUUUUUCACAACUCAAGAACUAAGCUGAUAGGUAUUCCCAGAAAAAGGUUUUCUCAGAAGCCAAAAGAAUUUCUUUUACAUUUGCUUUAUACCAGAGAGUGGGAAGAAUGAAUGAAAAAUUGAAAUCCCACUUAUAUAAGGAUUUCAUCAUUAAAUAACAUCUACAUGUGGCCAUCAAAUUACAGAGAUUUACAUUAGAUGAUAAAAGCUUCCAUGUUCUGGAGUAAACUCCCAUCAAAUUUGCAACUGUUGGAAGUAAACGAUAUUCUGGUUGUUUUCCUCUAUAUUUUGACUGGUGUUCUAUCAAUAUUUACUAGUUGUAUAACAGUUAAAAUCUCCAGUGACCUCCUGCAAAAGAAAAAGCCUGCAAUUCUCUGGUACACAACAAGCACCAUUUGUCAGAAGACUGCAUACACUUGGGGAGCUGGAGAUGGAGAUGGAGAUGCGUAUGUACAUCUGAAAACCCAUCUGUCUUACUUGUUGGUUAGCCACUGAUGUUCAGCUCCUUUUCGAGUUCAUCAAACUCCCAUUCACCGAUAUCCUCUGUUGAUGAGGGUGCACUAUCCUCAAAUUCCGACUCCAGUUUAACUAUAUCUGUCUCAGCCUUUUUUUUCAUUGAGAGAUAUUUUACUUUCCAAUUGUGUUUGUGUUCUGGUGAACCUGAGGCGCCCAUUGGGAUAUAGUGUUGAUUUUGACUAGGUUUAUUAUCACGGGAAGGUGGUGACUCUGAUCUUUGAGCCGAAGUCUCAAGUUCUGAAAUUACUCUCUCAAUGAAUUCAAAAUCUUCUUUUAUUUUGUCAAGAGCAUUACAUAGCUCAAUGAUCCUCUUGUCAUUUUUCCUGGAUCAAGAGCAUUUAAUGGAAUUACCAUGACAAAGUGUUGGGAAAUAAGAAUGAUUUUCUUUUACCUGGAAUUGCCUUCAUUUUGAGCAUAGAACUGCCUUUUAACUUCAUCGACUAUGCUUAGGGUUGUCAGAAACUGACAGAUGGAAGAAAAUAUUAGCUCUUAAUAGAGUCAAUCUCUGGUGCUACUUAAAACAAACAUAAACAAUGCAGUCACAAGGUUCAGAACACUGGAAAAUUGAGUUAAGAAAUUGCCUGGAAUGAAAAUAAAAACUAAUUCAUAUAUACCUUGGCUUCAAACUCCAGAUAUUCCUCUUUGAGAAAUCUUUUUAGGCUCUUUAAUUGUGAAUUUUCAGUAUCUCUACUUUUAGCUGCUUCUGACCUGAUAUUUAACCAAAAGUCUUUUAACAAGGAAGAAAUCUUCAUUGAAGACAAUAAAUUAGUAUUUCAAAGAGAGAACGAAUUAACCAGAGUACCCUUCUGUUGGUUGAAGCUCUUCCACCAGUUUUUUAAUUGGAGCAACAGAAGGUUCCAAUUGGUCCUGAACGCAAUGAUUUUCUUUAGAAACAACUGAUGAAUGCAUUGAAAAAUUAUUAUAAAUAGCAGUGACGAGGACAUAAAAAAAAUCGGGGGCGAAACCAUCUUAAUUGAUGGAACAAUAUGUACCUUAUAAGUAGAGAGAAGAUGAAUAACCAGAUGAACAAAAUAUUCUCCAUGCGUAUCCAAUUCCUCACUUGAACAUGCGCAUAUAAAUACUUAAAAUAAAAAUAUUGAAUACAGAGAACUCACAAUACUUCAAAAAUAAGGGAAAAAUUCAGGUCCUAAUCGUAUAACAAAGAGGAAGAAAAAGUGCAUUCAAAUAGACAUACUUGACUUUCUUUUCCUUUUCUUCAAUGAACAUACUCUGGAGAACCCAAGUAUCUUCCAAGAAAUUAAUCCAUCUAUUAACAAUGUCUGCUUCGACUCUACAUGAGGAAAUCGAUCUUGACAGCUCAUCUUCCUAUGACCAAAACCAAACAAUUUGUUUUUAUAAAGGAUAAAAACAAGUUUAAAUAGUUAAGAAAAGAAUUGUCCACAACAAGCAGGAAUGAUAAAUCGCCUGACAUGGCAAGAGUUAAAGUGGCAAUACCUUCGAUUUCAAGUGCUCAAGAAUCUGAUUACUUGCUUCAUCAAAUUGCUCUCGCUCUUCCCUAGUAUUGUGCAGGCGUGCACGAGCAGAAGCCAAUGAGGUAUUCACCUAUAUCAAGUGCCCAGCAAUAAACUGUCAGCCAACAAGAGAAGAUCGAAAGAACCCCAUCAAAAAUUUAUAUAUAUAUGUAUAUAUAUAAAUAUAUAUAAGAAUCGAAAAAUACAAACUGCAAACACAGAUUUCUUAAGGUCAUAAGAAGAAAUAAUAAGAUAGCUGGUAGUGCUGGAAAUGUCUUGUCUUCCAAAACAUGCUUCUUGCUUAUGCAUCUUGCACUGCAGACACACUACAGACACAUAAACACAGUACAUACAAUCUCGAAUUCAAGAAAAGAGAAACCUGUUUCAAUUCAGCUUCAAGUUCAUCCUUUUGUGUCUCAAGCUGUCCAAUUUCCAUGGCCAGUUCCUGGAAAAUCCCAUUAUACUUAUUUUUGGUAUUCCUAGAGAUCAAAUAAAUGGAAAAAAAAGAGAAACAGAUUUGAUCUGAGUUUGAGUUAAAUAGUAUAUCAGUCAUCAUUCAUUUGUAUUACACUCAACCAAAGAGCACGAAAAAAGUAAAAUUCCAGAGCUAGAAACGUAGAAAUUUUCACUUCUUCAGGACGAAGGAUUUUGCAGCUAAACCAGGUUGGUGAAUCCAGCAAGUAUCAUUUUAAUGACAGCACGUAUUAGACAAAAAUUGCAAAAAAAAGUAAAAACUAGCAUAGGAAUCUAAUUAGGGAGCUAAUUCGAAAUGGAAUUCUUUUUCACAUUGCAUCAAACAGGUAUCUAUAGGGAAUAAAUACAAAGAAAGAGCAGAAACAGUUCCGAAAUUCUUAGUGCUUCAUUUAACUUUAUUUGGUCGAUCUUCAGAAUAAAAUUAGAAACUUUGUAAAACUGAUUUGCAAACCAAAUUUGGUUUAACUAGAAGACAAUGAAACCCCUUCCUAAACUAAUUACAAAGUGAGUUUGAUGGAAUAUAAAAUUUAGUGUUCCAGUUUCACAUAAAAUUCUAUACAGGUCAACUUUUUCGGUUCUUGUAGAAGAAUUACAUCAAGUUACAACUCCUAGUUGAACUAAAUGUUGCUUGAAAAAUAAAUUCCAUAAAAUUUUUAGAUUUGUUCCAAAGAUAGUCUUAGUAUAGUGAUGCAAUUUAAGCAUGGGAUCACUAUCAUUAUCACAUGAAAAUGGAAAAGCUUUGAAGCAAAUUCAGGGAAAAAAUCACUUUUUGUGGAGUCUAUAUACCGUCUCCAGUUGGCUAACUUCAUUGGUUCUAGCAACACGAAAUCUGAGCGCCUCUUCUUUUUGAUAUCUGCUUGGAGACAGAGGAAGAUAGAACUUUAGUAAAACAAAUGCUACAAAUAUUAGGAAGCAGCAUAAAAUUCCGAAGGAUUGGAAAUAGAAUUUGGAUAUGUAUGUGUAUUUAUAUAAUUAUGUAGAGAUAGAUUAUACAUAUAUUGACUUCCAAGGAAAAGUUCAAGUAUUAUAGAAAGUAAAGACAUAACUUUCUUGCAGACAGAAACUUGAUCAUGCCAGAAGAAAAUGUCCUAUUACUAUGAAUAUAAUACUUACAUGGCCAAUCAAUUAGAGAGCAAGCAUGCACAAGAAAGAAAUUUUCAGAUACCAAAUAUUAUGUGAUGUAGGAUAGGGAGAGCUUGAGCAGAAAACUUUGAGAAAAUUUAUUAACAACCAAAAUUGGAGAUGUAGAAUCUCAAUAAUCAAAGAUUAAUUUAUUAUUUUUAUGAUAUUUAUGGUUAAUCGACCAAAUAAUUAAGAUAAGUUACCCUAUUUAUAGGAACCAAAAUAUAAUUAAAUUCAGAAUUCUUAAAUCUAUCUAGUAAUCUGACAAAACAGGACAAUAAGCUAAUUAUUUAGAAUAUCAUGUAAUAGAGAACAACUAAAUAAGAUCUUAUUAGAUAGAUUUAUAUCAUUAAUAAGCCUAUAGAUACUAGUUCCUAAAUAAUCUUUCUAUAUAUUUAUAUCAUUAAUAAGCCUAUAGAUAUUAGUUCCUAAAUUAUCUAAGUGUUUUAGUAAUAUAUAAACAUUAUUUUACAUAAAAAUAUCUUACUAUUGAAAAUGUCUACUUUAAGAUUUUUCAGCUCUACGUCAUUCUACUCCAUUUUUUGAAAACUCAACCUCGAGUUUUAAUGUAGUAGUAGAAGUAAUAUUACAAUUUAAACAUAUCUUCCUAACAAUUGAAAUAUGAAAAACUUAAAAUUAUUGUGAGAAAACAAAAAUGUUUCUAAAACUAUGGAUUCUGAAGAAGCGAAUGAGCAAUUUGGCAAGACAAAAUCUACAAAUGGAAGAAUCACCAAAGUCUGAUUAUAACCAUUGGUUGCAUAAAAUGCUUUUAUUGCAGUUUCUUCAAAUAAAGCUUUUUUUUUAUAUUCAUGGAGUUUAAAGUCAAUAAGAAUAUCCUUAUUCUCGACAUAAGCAAUACCAUUCUUUGCUAUUAAAUCAGAAAAUCGAUUAUUAGAAAAUUCAACUUCAUAAACAGAAAUGACAGCCUAUUCUACAAUAUCUUUUACUAUCUCAAUUACAACAUUUAUGUUUAUAUAUUUGAUACGAUUAAUUAAUUCUUCAUCAUUAGGUUGUAAUACUUUUAAAAUUUUGCUCAAUCACCAUUACAUUUACUUUUUUAUUAUUUAUUUGCUCUUCAUGAUCUAGUGAAGUUUCGAAUAUAUCAUUGUUGAUAAGGAUUCCAUACUAAAUAGAAUAUUAUAUUAAUUGAGAUAUUUUAUUAGUUAGAGUUCUAAUAGUAAAGUUAUAUCUUAUAAUUAUAAUCUAUGUAAAAUAAAAAUAACUACUUUAUAUAUAUUUUUUAAGUGUAAACACAAAACAUAAGAAAUAAAAUUAAUAGUUUAUUUUUCUUUAAAAAUUUUCAUGGUAUCAGAGGCAAAAUGAAGUUAAUUUUAGGAUUUUAAUUUCAUAAUUUUUUCAAAAUUCUAAAAUAAUAAAAUAGACUGAGUUGUUACUUAUAUAUAAAAACAAAUCUAAUCUCACCAACUAUUCAAACAAAGCGCAGCUCACUGACACGAGACCGGAGGAGUCUCUGCCGCGCGUGAGCCACAUGCGCCACGGGCAGUGGAAGCACGUGAACCCCAUGCGCCAUCAAGAAUCACCUCAUUUCGGCCGGAAUCGUGUUGCAUGGCCAUCGUGCACCAAAAUCCAGCUCUUUUUUGGCAUUUUGCAUGCGAUCCAGCAUGCGUCGCGCAUCCAAACUCUAGACUUCACGCAGCUGCGUGCAUUCGGCCGAUCCACUAUACCACGCCUUCCGCCGCGUCGUCUCGGCUGUUCCACACCUUGAGGCAACUCAUCUAGACCUCCCGCGUGCCACCCCGCUCUAGCCGCGCACUGAACUGCACUGCAUUGUCGGACAGACGUCUUCCACGCGCUAUUCUAGCUUUCCGUGCACGGGGACUUCUGAUCUCACCAUUCCGUGUGCCGGGCCGACCCGUUCUGGUCAUUCUGCACCCAAGCCGAGCUAUCUGCGUCCAAACCACUGUCGAGCUGAGCCAAAUCUGAUUCCAGAAUUUGUUAUUUUUUCAGUUUUCUAAUCUUUUUUUGACUCAUUUGAUGCAGAUUAAGAGGGUCGUCUUUCCUUAUUGGAUAUUUUUCUCAUUUUUUUUAGUAUUAUAAGAUUAUAGAUGCAAAAAAUGUGAGUGUUACUAGUUUCAAUAAUCCUUCAUUAUAAAUCAAUCUCAUAAAGUUUGAUGGAUCUAAUUAUCUUGCUUGCUCAAAAUAUUGUUUAUUAUUUAUCAAAUCUAAAGGAUUGUAAGGUUAUAUUACUGGUGAGGUGAAAAAAAGCAGAUGUUGAUAAUUUAGAAUAUAAUAGAUGGGACUUAAAGAGCUCAUUGGUAAUGUCAUGUCUCAUUAAUUUCAUGCAAUACCAAUUGCUAGAACAUAUAUGUCGCUUAAAACUAAUGAAAAAAUAUGAAAUGUAGCAUCUCUUACAUAUUCACAGAUGGGUAAUGACACUCAGAUUUAUAAAUCCUGGGAUAAAGUUCAUAGCACAAAGGAAUGAGAUAUGACUAUUUCUCAAUAUUUUUCUAAACUUAAUAGAUUAUGAUAAGAAUUAGAUUACUAUCAAGAUUUUCAAACAUAUUAUUCUGUAACUGCAGCCAAAUUUCAAAAACUAAUAGAAAGAGAGCGGAUUUAUGAUUUCUUAACUGGUCUGAACACCGAAUAUAAUUAAAAAUAGAUCCAAGUGCUUGGUAAAGAUCUUUUUCUUUCAUUAGAACAAACACUUAUGUCCAAUACGAAAAAAGUAGAAUAAAUAUUAUGUUUCACAUUGCACCAAUUAAGAAGAUUGGAUUAGUUACUUAGUAUGAUCAAUCUAGAGAUACACAGAAGUGUGAUUAUUGUGGUGAGCCAAAACAUAAUAGGGCAAUUUACUGAAAGUUGCAUGGAAGACCAAUUAGAGGUCAGAAAAAAAGUAGAGGUGGAACCACAAGAGUUCAAACAAAUUUUGUUGAAGUUAGGGAAGCACCUAGUUCACCAUCUGAUGGAGCAUUUUUCAUAAAAAAAUUUCAAAACCUGAAGCGUCUUCUGAGUCAACUUAACUCUUCAUCAACUGUUGGCACAUCAAAUAUUGUAAAAUCAGAUAUUGUUUAUCUCUAUCCUAUUUCCACUCUUGAUAAUUGGAUGAUAGACUCUAGAGCUAACAGAUACAUGACAGACUCUUAUAAAAAAUUUUAAACGUAUUCUUCUUGUACUGAAGGGGACAAUGUCCGUAUAGCAGAUGGGUCAUACACCCCCCAUGUCGGGAACAUGUUCUAUUAAUUGUACUCCUACUAUUACACUGUCUUCAGUUUUAUAUAUAUCUAGUUUUUCUAACAAUCUUUUAUCUAUUAGUGUCAUAACUAGAUAUGUCAACUAUAAAAUUGAAUUUUUUUUUUAUCAUUAUAUCUUUUAGGAUCUUCAAACUGGGAAGAAGAUUGACACUGGUAGACUGCGGAACUCAAUUUUUUUUUAAUCAUUAUAUCUUUCAGGAUCUUCAAAUCGGGAAGAAAAUUGACACUGGUAGACUGCGGAACUCAAUUUUUUUUUUAUCAUUAUAUCUUUCAGGAUCUUCAAAUCGGGAAGAAGAUUGACACUAGUAGAUGGUUUAUAUGUCUUGGAUAGACACCAGAACUCAAUUGGAAAUCAAGCCACUAUUGGGAAUAAAGAAAUCAAUAUGGAGAUGCUACAAUGGCACCGACGAUUGGGACAUCCUUCCUUUUUUGUUUCAAAAAAAUUAUAUUUUAAUUUAUCUAAAGAACUUUUAUGAAGUCUUUAUUUUGUGAUACAUGUGAACUUACUAAACAUAAGAGCAGCUCUUAUCAUUAAAGUAUAAUAAAAAUAUUGAUCCUUUUAUAAUUAUUAUUCUGAUGUGUGGGGACCUACUCAGAAUAUUUUUCUUUAUGGUCAUACUUGGUUUGUUAUUUUUAUUGACUGUUGUACUAGAUUAUCAUAAAUUUAUCUAUUAAAAAUAAAAUGUGUUGUAUUUUUAUGUUUUCAAUCAUUGCAUAAAAUGAUAUACAUACAAUUUAGUACUAAAAUUAAGAUUCUAAUAACUGACAGUGGUACAGAAUAUAUGAAUAGUGGAUUUCGUACCUAUUUGGAGUCAAAUGUAAUAAUUCAUAAGACAAGUUGUGCUACACUAGUGAACAAAAUAGGGUUGCUCAAAAAAAAAAAACACAAAUAUUGGAAGUAACUCGCUCACUAAUAUUCAUCAUGAAUCUACCAAAUUUACUGAGGAGAUGCAAUUCUCUCAGUUAUCUAUCUUAUUAAUAGAAUAUUUUUACGGAUUUUGAAUUUUAAAAGUUCCAUGGAAGUUUUGUAAGGAAAAAAUUCUUACAUUAUUUCCUCAAAAGUGUUUGAAUAUGCGUGCUUUACUCAUGUUAGAAAUGUGGGUAAAUUAGAACCUAGAACUCGUAAGUGUAUAUUUCUUGUAUAUUCUUCUACCCCAAAAAGUCUACAAGUGUUAUCAUCUACUGUCUAAAAAAUAUUUUAUAACUAUGAAUGUUGCCUUUAGGGAAAACGAGUCUUACUUCAAUUCAUAUCCAACACCUCUUCAGGAGGGAGUGUGAAUGAAGAAGUGAUAACUAAUUGGUUAAUAAUUAAGAGCCAUAUUCAUGGAGAGAAUUCUAUUGUAGAAAGUUUUACUUAAAAAGAUAAUGUUGGAUGUUUAGAUAAACCAAACUUGAAAAGCUAUUCAAGGAAAGAGAAGUCAGAAAAAGCUAUCAUUCAAUUUGUUCCAUAUUAAGAAUUUUCUCUGGUUUCAAAAGAUACUAGUGAGUUAUCUUUCUCUUAUAAUUUAUCAGAUAAACCUAUUACUAUUAGAAAAGGAACGAGAACUUGCACUAAGCACCCUAUAUCUAAAUUUAUCUCCUAUGACUCUCUAUUUUUCUUUUAUAGAGUUUUUGUCUUAUCUAUUUUUUCUAUGUCUAUUCCACAGGAUUUGAAAGAAGGUCUAGAAGAUCUCAAAUAAAAAGAAGUCAUGAUUGAAUAAAUGAGAACAUUAACAAAAAAUAAAAUAUGAGAACUUAUUUCACCUCUAUAGGGAAAGAAGAUAAUUGGUUGCAAAUGGGUGUUUACCGUAAAAUACAAUUCAGACAGAUUGAUCGAAAGGUACAAAACUAGAUUGGUGGCUAAAAGAUUUACUCAUACUUAUGGAAUUGACUAUCAGGAGACCUUUGCACUUGUUGCGAAGAUGAAAACAGUUAAGAUACUUUUAUCUUACAGUUAACCUUGAUUGAGAUUUACAACAGUUUGAUGCAAAAAAUGCAUUCUUCCAUGAAGACUUAAAGGAAGAGAUGUACAUAGAGAUUCUAACCGAAUUUGAAGAUGGAAGAAGCACGGAAAAGUUUGUAAAUUAAAAAAGGCUUGAUACGAAUUGAAGCAGUCUCCAAGAGCAUGGUUUGAACAGUUUAGAAGAGUUAUGAUCUUUUUUGGAUAUCAACAAAGUAAUGUUGAUCAUACCUUGUUUACCAAACAUCAUGAGGGUAAGGUAAUUUUUCUUAUUAUUUACGUAGAUAACAUUAUGGUGACUGGAGAUUACACAGAGAAGAUGACUCGGUUGAAGGAACUUCUUUCUCAAGAGUUUAAAAUAAAAUAUAUAGAAAAAUUACAAUAUUUCUUAGGAAUUGAAGUUGAUAGGUCCAAUAAAAGGAUUUUCAUUUCUAAAAAAAAGCAUAUGCUAGACUUACUGAAGAGAUUGGUAUGAUGGAUUGCAAGCUGACAUAAUCACCUAUUGAGAACAAUCACAAAUUAUAAGUAAGUAGUGGUACAUCAGUUGACUUGGAAAGAUACCAAAAAUUAGUUUGAUGACUCAUUUAUCUCUCACAGACCAGACCUAAUAUACCAUAGUCUGGUGAGUCAAUACAUGCAUGAUCCUCGUGAGACUCAUUUACAUGUUGUCUUCCGCAUAUUACGACACCUGAAGUCUGCACAAGAAAAAUGUCUGCUCUUUUAUAAAUAUGAUCAUCUUAAAAUAAAAGCAUUUACAUAUACCAAUUAAGUUGGAUCUCUACAUGAUAGAAGAUUAAUUAUAGGUUACAAAACACUUGUAGGAAACAACUUGGUCAGAUAAAAAAUUAAGAAGCAAAAUGUGGUUAACCCCUCCAGUGCUGAGGUAAAAUGUAGAGUAAUGGCUCAAAAAGUAUGUGAAUUAUUAUAGUUGUAAAAGUUAAUGAGGGAAUUAAAAUUACUUAAAGAAGAGAGACUAUUCAUGUUUUAUGACAAUAAAGCAACUACUAACAUUACUCAUAAUUCUGUUCAAUAUGACAUAACAAAAUACAUUGAAAUUGAUCGACACUUCGUAAAAGAGAAAGUGGUUGGUGGCUCUUUAUGCUUAUAUCAUGUAUCUUCUACCGACCACGUGGCUAAUAUUUUUACUAAAGAAUUAUACAAUAAAUUUCUUCAGAACUUGAUUUGCAAGUUGGGCAUGUGUGUUAUCUUUGCGCCAACUUGAAGAGGAGUAUUGAUAAAGAUUCCAUGCUAAGUAGAACAUUAUAUUAAAUAGAAUAGUUUAUUAGUUAGAGUUUUAAUAAUAAAAUUAUAUCUUAUAAUUAGAAUCCGCAUAAAAUAAGGAUAACUACUCUAUACGUAUUUUCUAAGUAUAAAUACAAAACAUAAGAAAUAAAAUUAGUAAUUUAUUUUUCUCUAAAAAUCUUCAGUCAUGCUCGUAUAUAACAAAUAUUCAAGAUUUAUAUAACCUUAUGUUUUAUAUUCAUUUCAGACAUACCAAUCUUAUUAUUUAAAUCAUUAUAAGGAAAAAAAAUGUCAUGUUGUUCAUGUGCCUUCUUUUCUUUUGUAAGUAGAACACAUUUUAGGAAAGAAUAUUAAAUUCUACUUGAUGACAUCUAUCAUAUAAGUAAUAUUCUUGUAGAGAAUUUCGAACCCAAAUAGUAUCUUCACAAAAAUCAUAAGUCACCGAAACUUGAAACCUUGCAGAAUUUUGAUUAAUUUUGAUUUUCUUCACAUGUCCAUGUUAAUAAAAAAUUUCAUAUAGAUCAUCAAGUAGAUUAUCCUUUAUAACUAAACCAUGUACUUAAUAGAAUGUAACUAAAAACACAAUUAACUUUACUAAUAUUUUAUAUCUAUCCAAAGUUCCUCAUAACUCCAAGUAUAUUUUGUCUAAAUUAUUUACCUAUAGAAAAGUGAUUAUAGAACAAAAAUUUGACUAAUCUAAAAAUAUCGAGAAUUGGUCUGGAGGUUUGUGAACUGGACAAGUCAAACUGGAUAUGGUCAACUCGUUAUGAACCGGUCAACAUAAAGCUGGAGAAUUCAAAAAUCCACUUACAUCAAAUGGCACGUGGGAGUCAUGCACUGACUUUUAGUAUUUUUUAGCGUCUAUUUUUUGGUGAGUGAUUCAAUUGGUAAUGUUGGUUCCAAAUCUUGGGCUAAGAUCACUCUUCGCAAUCAAGGAGGAGACUAGACUAGUAUUUGCAAUAAUAAUUCGGUGGUUUCUAACUAAGGAUUCUGACAAUAGUAAAUAUUAAGAUAUGGUGGGUAGAUCAUUUGAGAGUCUCUCAAGUCAAUGGAAGAGUAGUUUCGACCACCUCCCUAGUAGCUAGAGAUCAUGUUGGCCGAAAUUGUGGUGUUUCUCUUUUUUAUUGAUUGUAGCUGAUUUAGGGUUUAAAGUUUUGAAGAAUUUUCGAAGAAAACAUUAUUUACUUUUAUUUUCUCAUACUACUUGUGAUAUUACAAUCGGAAUAUAUAUACAGAAUUCAUAUAUAUCAAUAAAAAAGUUUAUAUUAUUGUAGUAAUUUUACUUAGUUCUACUAAUUAAUUACAUUAUUAUAGGAAAGAUUAUGAGAAUGAUUAUAAAUGAAAAAUAUCUCAAUUAAUAAAGUAACAAAAUUUGUAAUUAAUACACUCUCUCAAGUUGAUGCAAAAAUAUCAUACAUAUCCAACUUGCAGAUCAAAUUAUGAAAAAAAAUGUAAUAAAGUCCUUUAUUGAAGACAUAUGUCACUUGUUCACUAAAAGACAUAUGAUACAGGCAUAAGGAACCAUCAUUCACUUUCUCUUUUAUGAAGUGUCGAUCAAUCUCAAUAUGUUUUCUUUAGUCAUAUUGAACUGGAUUAUGGGUUAUGUUAAUAGCUACUUUAUUGUCACAAAACAAUGAUAAACUCUCUUCUUUGAACAGUGUUAAAUCUUUUAUUAACCUUUACAAUCAUAAUAAUUCACAUAUAUUCUGCUGCUUAGUUUUUCAAGUAACCAAAUUGUCUUCUACAAGCGUACAAUAGCUAGUAGUUGACCUCUUAUCAUCUUGAGAUCUAGCGUAAUCAAUAUCUAUAAAUGCUUCUAUCUUAAGAUGACCAUUUUGGAGAAUAGCAAAUUUUUUUCCUAGUUCAAAUUUUAAAUAUAGUGAUAUGUGAAAACGACAUAUAAAUGAGGCUCGCAAAGAUCAUGCAUGUACUGAUUCAUCAGGCUAACUGCAUAUGCUAUGUCAGAUUUGGUAUGUGAGAGAUAAAUGAGUCUUCAAACCAUUUAAUAUCUCCCCAAGUUUAUUGAUGUACUAAUUCCCACUUGUAGUUUACGAUUACUUUCAAGAGAAGACUCUAUCGGCUUGCAGCCCAUCAUACUAAUUUAUUCUAAUAACUUUAAGAUAUAUUUUAAAUAUGUUUUCUUUUAAAGAUGAAAAUAUUUUUAUUAGAUCUGACAACUUCAAUUCUCAAGAAAUACUGCAAUUUUUUUUAUAUUCUUUAUUUCAAAUUCUUGAGUAAAAAGUUCUUUCAAUCAAGUCAUCUCCCUUAUAUCAUCUCCAAUCACAAUAAUAUUAUCUACAUAAAUAAUGAGAAUAGUGACUUUACCCACAUAAUAUUUAAUAAACAAUAUAUGGUCAGCAUUGCUUUAGUAAAUAAUUUUCUUUCAGACCAUACUUUUGCAAAUCUUCCCUUGUGUUCUUUCAUCUUCAAACUAAAAGGAAUCUCUAUAUAUGUUUCUUCCUCUAAGUCUCCAUGGAGGAAGACAUUUUUUAUAUCAAACUGUUGUAAGUCCUAAUCAAAGUUGGUUGCACAAGGUAGCAAUAUUUUGAUUGUAUUCAUCUUCACACUAGGUAUAUAUAUUUCCUAAUAGUCUACUCAAUAGGUCUGAGUAAAUCUUUUAGCCAUUAAUCUAGUUUUGAACCUUUCAAUCGACCCGUUUGCUUUGUGUUUCACAAUAAACAUCCAUUUAUAACCAAUCAUCUUUUUUCUCAGUAGAGGUAAAAUAAACUUCUAGAGUUUAUUCUUUGUUAAGGAUUUCAUUUUUUCAAUCAUGAUUUCCUUCAAUUUGGGAUUCUAUAGAACUUCUCUACAAUCCUAUGAAAUAGACACAAAGAAAAGAAAUAAAACAAAAAUUCUAUAGGAAGGAUAUAAAGAUUCAUAAGAAACAAAGUUAGAUGUAGGAUGUUUAGCACAAGAUCUAACUCAUUUCCUAAGAACAAUGAGUUUAUCCACAUUAUCAAAUAAAUAUAUUAAGUAUUUUCAGGAAUUAACCAGUAUUUUGAUGAACUAAUUAAAUAUAUUUAAGAACCAAGAAAAUUUCUUGACUUGAGACAGACUACGCGGUAGCUUUCUUUGUCUUAUUAUUCCUUAAAUACCUUUUCAAGUCUGGUUUAUCCAGCGGCUAANNNNNNNNNNNNNNNNNNNNNNNNNNNNNNNNNNNNNNNNNNNNNNNNNNNNNNNNNNNNNNNNNNNNNNNNNNNNNNNNNNNNNNNNNNNNNNNNNNNNNNNNNNNNNNNNNNNNNNNNNNNNNNNNNNNNNNNNNNNNNNNNNNNNNNNNNNNNNNNNNNNNNNNNNNAUUUUUCUUCUCAUUCUCUUCCAAAAGAGGUGUUGGACUUGAACUCGAAAUAAGACUCAGAUUCUCUAAAAAUAACAUCCGUAGUUAUAAAGUAUCUUAUAAAUGAAGGAUGAUAACACUUGUAAUAUUUUGAGUAGAGGAAUAUCCAACAAAUACACACUUAAAAUCUAUGGGUUCCAACUUACUCAUAUUUCUAGUAUGGACAAAACAAAAAUAUCCAAACACCUUUGGGAGAACAGUAUAGGAAUUUUUAUUUUCAAAACCUCCAAAAUACUUUUAAAAUCAAGAGUUUUCAAAAGCAUUCUGUUGAUAAAAUAAGUAGCUAAAAGAAUUGCAUCUCUCCAGUAACUUUUUGAUAGAUUUAUGAUGAAUAUAAGAGAUCAAGUUAAACUCUAAUAUUUGUCUGUUUUUCCUUCCAGCAAUACUAUUUUGUUCACUGGAGUAGACACAACUACUCUAAUGGAUUAUCUUAUUAACUUCAAGUAGAUACGGAAUCCACAAUUCAUAUAUUUUAUACUAUUGUAUACUCUUAAAAUUUUAACUUUAGUAUCGAACUAUGUACAUAUAAUUUUAUGAAAUGACUGAAAGCAUAAGAACACAUCAUUUUUUACUUUCAACAGAUAAAUUCAUGUUAAUUUAGUACAACAGUCAAUAAAAGUAACAAACUAUUUAUGAUAACAUAAAGAUAUAUUUCAAGUAAGUCCCCAAACAUCAUAGUAAAUAGUCAUAAAAAGAAUAGAACUUCUACAGUUGCUUACAUAACAAUAACACCUUCUAUAUUUAACUAUCUCACACACAUCACAAAAUAAAGAAUCUAUUAAAGUUUUGUUAAAUAAAUUGGGAUACAAUUUUUCUAGAGUAAAGAAAGAAUGAUGUCUCAACCGUCGAUGCAAUUGUAGAAUUUCCUUAUUGACUUUCGUAUUUUCGAAGGCAGUUUGAUUAUCAAUUACAUUUUGACUUUUAUUCAAAACAUAUAAGUCACCCUGCAAUCUAUUAGUAUUAAUCAUCUUUUCUAUUUGAAGAUCUUGAAUGAUACAAUAAUAAAAAAAAAUUCAAUUUUAUAAUUAAAAUCUCUAAUGAUGAUACUAAUGGAUAAAAAACUGUCAGGAAAAGUAAAUACAUAAAGGACUAAACACGGAGUAAUGGUGGGAGUAAAACUAAUGGAAUAUGUUCCAGAUAAAGGGUUGUAUAAUUCAUCUGCUAUGCAUAUAUUUUUUCUUUUAAUAUAAAAAAAAAUAGAUUAUGAAGUCUUUAAAAGAGUCUGUCAUAUGUUUGUUAGCUUUAAAAUCUAUAAUUCAAGUAUUAGAAUUGGAGAUAGCNNNNNNNNNNNNNNNNNNNNNNNNNNNNNNNNNNNNNNNNNNNNNNNNNNNNNNNNNNNNNNNNNNNNNNNNNNNNNNNNNNNNNNNNNNNNNNNNNNNNNNNNNNNNNNNNNNNNNNNNNNNNNNNNNNNNNNNNNNNNNNNNNNNNNNNNNNNNNNNNNNNNNNNNNNNNNNNNNNNNNNNNNNNNNNNNNNNNNNNNNNNNNNNNNNNNNNNNNNNNNNNNNNNNNNNNNNNNNNNNNNNNNNNNNNNNNNNNNNNNNNNNNNNNNNNNNNNNNNNNNNNNNNNNNNNNNNNNNNNNNNNNNNNNNNNNNNNNNNNNNNNNNNNNNNNNNNNNNNNNNNNNNNNNNNNNNNNNNNNNNNNNNNNNNNNNNNNNNNNNNNNNNNNNNNNNNNNNNNNNNNNNNNNNNNNNNNNNNNNUAAUAGAGAAAUAAAAUUUCUAGUCAGUAGGUUUUCCUUUUUUGGGCAAUAGGGUUAUAUUUGUGGAAUCGGAUGACAACUUGAUGAGUCAAUUUUAAGCUUUGAUACCAACUAAUGUAAGCAAGAGAGCUCUUGAACAAAGUUUUGCGAAAAUUUAUCAAGAACCAAAAUUGAAAAUUUCAUAUAUCAAUAAUUAAAUAAAUAAAGCUCAAUAUUUGUUUGGAAGGGAAUGGGUGGAAAGAGGAAACAAGCAGAACUAAUUCUUCUUAACAUAUUUUUGAUUGUGUGGAAGAAGAGGAAAGAAAGGAUGUUUAAUGGGGUUGAUAACGUAGAUGGUUUUGACUUACCAGAGAAUAGAUGGUUCUGGAACCUUAGUUUUUUGUUGUUGGGUUAUCCUCUUCAUUUAAGAAGAAUUUAGAAAACUUUAUUGACACUUUGAUUGAAUUAUAAAUCUUUGUACAUGGGUGAGCACCCCCUUAGUUUCAUUAUUAAUAUAUACUAUACACUUUCUAUUUUUUUAAAAAUACUCAGUAUUUAUAUAGUAAUCAUGAAUAUUCUUAAGUCUAUCAAGUAAUUUCACAAAAUAGGAAAACAAACUAAUUAAUUGAAAUAUCCUACUAGAGGAUAACUAAAUAAGAUCCUAACUCAAAAGGGAGUAAUAACUUAUACCAUUAAUAAAUCUAUAGAUACUAAUUCUCGAAUAAGCUAAAUACCUUGGUAAUAUAUAAACAUUACAACUAUAUAAAAUAUAUCUUACUAUCAAAAUAUAUCCGCUUUAAAUUCUCCUGUUCUACAUCAUGAUGAGAUAUUUUGUUUGCAACCUGUAGUCUAAAAUGUGCAUUUUCACACUUUGAGGUCGAGUUAAAAAUUAGAGUGCAAAAUAUCUUAUUUCUAUGAACAUAAAUAUUGAAAUGGCCAAUAAAUUGGAGAGCAAGCAUGCAAAAGAAAUUCUCAAACAAGCACUAAGAAUUUAUUAGGUACUUCAUUCAUAACCUGUGAUCUAAAAUGCGUUUCUCGGCCUUUGAGGAGGAACUAACAAGAGACUCUGACAGAACUUUCAAUUUAUCAACCUGCAACAUCAAGAACAGAUCACCAAGAAUAGCACCAUGAUGCAGAAAGUAACUAAAACAAGAUUGAGAACAGAUAAUACUAGCUACAAACAUGACUGACUUCAAUUUGAGGAUGAUAUCAAAGAGAGUUGAAGAAAANNNNNNNNNNNNNNNNNNNNNNNNNNNNNNNNNNNNNNNNNNNNNNNNNNNNNNNNNNNNNNNNNNNNNNNNNNNNNNNNNNNNNNNNNNNNNNNNNNNNNNNNNNNNNNNNNNNNNNNNNNNNNNNNNNNNNNNNNNNNNNNNNNNNNNNNNNNNNNNNNNNNNNNNNNNNNNNNNNNNNNNNNNNNNNNNNNNNNNNNNNNNNNNNNNNNNNNNNNNNNNNNNNNNNNNNNNNNNNNNNNNNNNNNNNNNNNNNNNNNNNNNNNNNNNNNNNNNNNNNNNNNNNNNNNNNNNNNNNNNNNNNNNNNNNNNNNNNNNNNNNNNNNNNNNNNNNNNNNNNNNNNNNNNNNNNNNNNNNNNNNNNNNNNNNNNNNNNNNNNNNNNNNNNNNNNNNNNNNNNNNNNNNNNNNNNNNNNNNNNNNNNNNNNNNNNNNNNNNNNNNNNNNNNNNNNNNNNNNNNNNNNNNNNNNNNNNNNNNNNNNNNNNNNNNNNNNNNNNNNNNNNNNNNNNNNNNNNNNNNNNNNNNNNNNNNNNNNNNNNNNNNNNNNNNNNNNNNNNNNNNNNNNNNNNNNNNNNNNNNNNNNNNNNNNNNNNNNNNNNNNNNNUUGGCAGAUAUAUGAUAAUUCAAUUAAAUAAACUUUAAUUCACCCACAAGUGGUGGCAUAAUCUAAUUAAACGAGUAGAAGGGACUAUGGCAGGUUGGUAACAAAAGUGUGCAUGACCAUGCAUGAUUUCCGAUCAAUCUCACCUUGAGUGAUGAACCGGUAAUUUCUUCAGAUAAUUUUGUUUGACAUUCAUUUGAAGACUGCUGGCGAGCAUUCAUAUUGUCAAGUUUCUCUAUAAGAGUCUGGGCUUCAGCAUCAAUUCUGCUUGCAGAGGGCAGUCACAAAUAGACGUGAAGAAAGAAUAAAUACCAUCUUUAGUUUCAUGAUGGUGAAAAAUAAAAAAGUACUGAUCUUCAAGAACAUUUCCCACAAAGUUUUAGUUCUAAAGACAUUCUCACGAUUAAACCUUACUCAUCAAGAUUUCUUUGUAGUCUGUCCUAUGUUCUUAUGUGCCAUGAGUUUUUAUAGGAGCAGAUUUCUUUGUGGAAAUACAAUAUUUAAAUUAACAAAAGCCCCAUAGUUCAAGAUGGUUUUCCAUAUUGGCCCUACCUUUUUAUAAGAUGGUGGUGUUAUUAAAGCCAAAACUGCUGAUGACUGCAGAAGAAAAUUUGAUCUAAAGGGAACAUUUUUUGGGAUGGUGGAAAGGAGAGAGAGAGAAAGCAGAAGAGAGAAGUAAUGUUUACUGAGAAAGUGGAAUUAGAGAAAUAUCUUUAAAACAUUAGUACCUUGCAAGAUCAGCAUUGAUUUUGAGCCCAGCAAUUGCAUCUUGAGCAUAUUGGAGUAGUUCUUCCCGUUUUACCUAAAGAAUAUAAGAAAGGAAAAAGUAUGAACCGCUAGGUCUCUGCAGAUAGAGAUUCACUUCAAAAACCUCCUGCUAUGAUCCUAAAGAUACCUUGUUAGCUUAAGUCAGGUUUAUCAAGUCCUUACCAGUACUUCAUCCUGAUAACUAGAGAAUUUGGUUGCUAAAUUUUGUAUACUAUUCAUUACUGCAUUAUGAACUUUCCUUUCUCCUGUGAGACAAAGCCUGUAAAUGACCAACCAAUAAACAAGUCUACAUGAAUUGAACUAUUUUAGUUCAAAAGAAACUAAUCCUCCUGGACAAUGUUUCUCCUUAAAAUAUACAUAAUAUACAGUUUUACCAGCUAAUUAAGGCACAAAAAAUGAAUAAAGCAUCAAAUUUGCAUGGAAAAUGUAAGAAAAAUCACCCAAAUAUCUCCAGAAGUAGCAAAAGUUCUUCCUCGUUUGGUGCUUCAAGAAUCUGAGUCAUACAAAAGAGUUAACCUGCGGUUAAACUCAAUGUAUCAGCAAAUACAAAGCCCAGUUAAAUAUCUAAUCACCAACUGAAGAUAAAAUCGAGGAAAAUUUCACCAUUCUGCCUAUUAGGAAAACCAAGUAGUUUAUUCAGAAAAACAAAGCUCGUGCCUACUAGAAAUGAAAAACAAAGUAAGAACCUCUCGUAUGGAAUGACUCAAAAGCUUAAUUCAGGCAUUAGUAUCCUUCUAUAAGUUCAUCUAGCUUCAUUAUUCUUCCAGAAAAGUCUAAGCGUACUUGUUUCCAUUCUGUCCUCAUUGAAACAAUUUAUUCUUCCAUCAACAGAAUCAGCAGGAAAAUGCUCCUUCCCAUUAAAGAAAAUAAAUGAUUUCUUGCCUAGUUGAUUUUUUUUCUAUAUUCCAAUUCUGGGUUUAAAAUGUAGCCAGUUGGUCUCUAAGUCUAGUGUGUGUUUGAAGGAGAUAUCAUCAUGAGAAGUAUUUUAUCAUAUUCUAUACAUUGUCAAUAGAGGCUUAAUUGUCUUAAAUAGUACAUUUUGUAAGCAAGCCCUAUUACAUGUAUCCUGGCCUUAAAAAGUUUCUUUGCAUGAUAAAGUUAAAUGUCAAAAUAUGAUAAUCCUACACGAAGAAAUUCCAAAAACAUGUGAUAAAGAAAAUGCCAUUCUUUUGCUAUGAUUUGGAAUAACAAUGGCUCAUAAAAAGCCAAUGAGAGUGAAGCUGCAGAGAACUACGCAAGAAUUUUUGAACUUACCAUUGACAAUGUUAUGCCUUCAAGGGCUUGACUACGAAGAAAUACAUCUCGAAAAUUCAUGAGCUCACCUUCCACAUCAGGGUCUCCAUAAUAAACCUGUAGCAUUCAAAAACUAAGCACCUUAGACAACAACAACAACAACACAUAAUCAAGUCCAAUUAAUACUUCAUGAAAAGAAUGAUAAAAGAAAAAGAAUAGGAUUACUAACUAAAGUGGGUUUUGUAGGAGAAUCCUUGGGAUCAUCAGAAUUAAGCAUUUCAUCUUGGUUUUUUUCAUUAUUAUCAUGGGUUUUAUCAGCAGUCAGUCUCUCAAUUUCUUUAAGAGCAACCAGCCACCUCCUCAGCAACUGAACUCUCUCUACGCCUCUACACGAUACUGAGACCUCCUCCAGUCUCUUCACCGUGUGCCUUAAGCUCUUCCAAUUCCUUGGACCCUGCUCCAAAUAUACCCACGUAAACCCUCCAAAACAAACACCAUUGAAAAUAUAAACAAAGAGAUUAAAACGAAAAAAAAAAAGGACAUUACGAUGCGGUCCUGGAUGAUUUUGGCGCCUUCAGAAACAGCAUUGCCGGCGUGAUAUACGACGGUGUCGGCGUAAUUGCGAACCUUUCUUGUGAUGUUGUUGUUGCCUCCUACUUCCACUGCUCUGUUCACGGCUGUUCUUAGCCACGACAUUGCCGCCACCUCUGUUUUUUUUUUCCUUUAUUUUCCGACUAUUAAGUUUUUCUUUUACUAUCCUUAAUGGGUUCUUUUGAUCGACCAAAUGCUUUUUUGGUUUCAAGAAACAGAAUCCAGAAUUUGAAAAUGGCGCCGGUUGAAGAAAAAAAAUUACAGCAACGCCAAGAAGAAGAGGAAAUAAUCAAAUUCAAAACGUCGUUAAGACUGUUGGUUGUUUUAGCUAGGACCAAAAUCAUUGGUUUCCGUUGUUGUCCUUCUUACUAUUGCUAUUCCUUGGCAUUGCCAUUGCCAUUGUUUUGUUUGCAUAUCGAGAUAUCAUGGGAUGGAAAAUAUCUUUGGAGGAAGAAGAAGAAGAAGAAGAAGAAGAGAGAAAAAGUCAGCGUCUUGAACGUUUUGGCGAACAUCUUCUGGUAGCUCGUUUCAGGUGGCUUUAUUUUCGCUCUUAUUUACUUAAUUUACUAAAAUGCCCCUCUCAUAUAAAAAAACAUGAAGAGAGAUAAAAAUUGGCAAAAUUAACAAAAAUAUAAGUAGAAAGUAAUAAAUCAGAAAUAGAUAUAUAUAUAUAUAUGUAUAUAUAUGUUUGUGUGUGUGUGAUAUUUUAACAAUUUUAUCCGCCAUGCACCUACAUUCGUCCAGUCAAAAUCUUCUGCUAAUCAAUUAAUCACUACACAAAAUGUUUGUCUCCAACCCUAAUAGAUAAUCUAAAUAAAAUUAUAUAUUUAGCUCAAACUAAAAAUUGAAUUUUCAUCUAAAGGUUGUCAACAAAUGUAUAAAGAAAUUCACCAAAAAAUAAACCUUCUUUAAAAAAUCAUAUUAUUCACUUUUUAUAAAUCAUUAUAUACGAAAUGAUAUAUCAAAAAUUCAUCAAAAGUAAAAAUAAGAUAAGACAUUUGAUCUUGGCAAAAUUGUUUCUUUUCUCGUUUGAUCACAAAAACUCACUCUUUUUCUAUUUGUUUUGCCAUGUAAAAAAAAAAAAAAAAAAACAAUGUACGUAGUAUUUUAGGUUUUUUCUCUUUCUUUUUUUUUUUAGUUUAUUUGGUGGAUUCCACCCAUUUAAGUAAAAUGCACGAGCAAAUCUCUCUCUCACAUCUAAGAGGGAGGGAUUCUCAUAUCAAUAACUUCUUUACACCUAAUAAGUUUCUCUACAGGUAAGACUUUAGUCAUUAUAAAGCACUAUAUGGUACAUAUCUAAAUAUAAGUUAAUGUUUAAUUAUAUAUAUAGAGUCAAAAAUAGCGGCAUCCCUAUAAAAGCCACUAGUUAUGCCAACAAGAUGGUCAACGCAUGUAUUUCCUUCUCUAUAAGUACGAAAAAUAUGCACCUCCUAAUCAAACUUGAUUGAUCUUUUAGAUUUGAUGAUCUUAAGUAUGUUAAGGUUGCUCCCUUUAAAUAAGUUAUGUGAAAAAAUUUUCAUCUUUAAGGACUCCACCUACUCAACCAUGAUUUUUUUAUGCUCUACUCUAAAAAACUUUAAGCCUUCAAGUAACCCCCACUCUCAUCUGUCGUUGGGAGGUCUCAUAGUGUUGGUCAUGAAUUUGAUGAUCUAUCUGUCUUACCUAUCACAAAGAAGCUUACAAGUAAUAAUAGGUCCAUCUAGUUCUUUCAAAUAAGCAAACAUAUAUUUAAAAUAUUAAAUUCACUACUUGCAUUACCAUAAUCAUAAAUAUCCAAAGUUUGUAUAGAAUAUAACAGUACUUAGUUUUAUAAAUGCCUAAAAAAAUUUUAAGACUCUAAAAAAAUAUUACUUAGUUUAUUACUUUUUAAUUAUCACUAGAAUCACAAAAUGAGAUUAUCAAAAAAAUAACAUCGGUUGCGCCAUUAUCACGACUAAAAAUACAUAAAUGGUGACAUCACCACCUCCUAUGCCUAAAUCAAGUUAAAAAACCUAUCACUAGGAAAUCUCGAUAGGACAGUCCAUUUAAACACUCAUGUAUUUCUAGGUUAUUGAAUGCUAAAGACUCAAAAUUGUCUCCCUCUUUCUCUUGAGCAUCUCUAAUGAUAUGAUUAAUUGUAAAAGGUUAUUUGGGUGUUACGGAGUCCAAACAUGGUGUCGCUCUGUUAAGUUAUAGUGAAGACACGCACAAUAAGGCGUGAAGAUCUUGUACCUUCUUAUUUUCUCUCUUAGUUUGGCCACCUGAUUGGUCCUAAGUUGUCCACAAGCUUAGGCUUGCAAUGUGAUUAUCAAACUUUCUCUAGGUGGGAUCCAACAAUAGAAACACCUUCUACUUUUUUUUCUCUUUCUUUUCGUAAGUUUUUUUAACUUUUUAUAUCUUUAUUUCCCUUCUUUUAAUAAUUGGGGUACAACAAAAAACGUGACUUUCUUCCAUUAGACCCUCAUAUACAUGCAUAAAUGAUACAAUAUUUGGUAUUUUUUUCUAAUAAUGAGAAUAAGUGAACAUAUUACUAUAAAGUGCAAAAAAUUCACUAGCCAUUAUAGAUAUAAAUAAACUUAUUAUUAUACCCAAUAACUAAUUUUUUAACAAACGUUAUGCACUCUAUUUAUAGAACUAAUUGUCAAUAUUUAAUUGAUUAGUUUAACUUUUAGUAAAAAUUUUAGUUAAAUAGAUAAUGUAAUUCUAAUUUUUUUAAUAAAGUUAAUCAAAAUAUAAUAUAUGACUUUGAUAUUUUUUCUUUAAUCAUUAAGACAAUAAAAUUAACUUUAAAAAUUAUUUUUUUAGUAAAAAUGUAUUAACAUAAUUAAUUUUAGAAAAAAUAACUUCAUCAUAAAUUUCUAAUUAGAUAAAUAACCUCAAUUAAGUGUUUCCAUAUAAUUAUAUUUUAGUAAGAUUUCGGUUAACUAAUUAUAUUUUAAGUAGAAUUUUAAUUGUUUCAGAUAAAAAUUUUCAAUCAAAGUUAAUUCUAAAUAUGUAGCAUCAUCUAAUCUCAUCACAAGAAAUCCGUCAUUUAGUAACGAUACAUCUGAUUCAUCCGUCACUAAAAUCAUACAUAUACAAGUGCCACCAUUGAUACUACAAAAGAGUACUCAUUAUUAUUUGAUCUUUUACAAAAGAAUGUUGUUUGAUCUAAUGACUUUUUCUUAUUAGUGAAAAUUGACCUAAGCAAAUAUUUUUUAUAAUGUCUGAUAGACUUAACCCAUGGUUAUAAAUCGAAAAAAGUAGAUAAAACUAACACCCGUCAGUAUUAGUUUUCUGUCUUUCUAUAUCAGAUCAAACAGCGACGGUUUGAUCCGUUACUAUAGCUCAUUUUUUAUUUUUAAUUAUUUUAAUGACUAUUAAUAGAAUAAAUUAAAUUAAAUAAGAUAAACUAACAUAUAAUAAUUAUAAUUUAAUAUAAUAAUUUAAUGUGACAAUAUACAAUAAUUAUUUAUUAAAUAUUUUCAAUAUAAAAUUAAAAUGUGAGGAUGAGUAGGUAUAUUUUUCUUUGAAAAUAAUUUUCUAUUGUAUUUUUAUUAUUGUUUGUUCAUCAUUUAUUGCUAAAUAUAUGAAUGUCUACUAAAAAUUAGAAUUGAAAUAAUACAUGCCAUGAUUCUGUAAUUUUAACCAAAUUUACAUCUCAUUUUAUUUCUACUUAGAAUUUCCUAUAAGAUUAAUUCUUAUAAGUUUCUUAUAAAAUUCUUCUCUUCUAUUUGAACUCUCUUAAUUUUUGAAAUAAGUUUGACAAAAGAUUUGAGUUUGUUAAAAAUACAAUGUCAGCAAAAGUGAGCCCAAUGAGAAGAGAAUGACAGUUGAAACAUGAGAACCUUUAUUGGAAUGAUUGCUCUGUGGUACAUAUGAAAUACAUUCAAAAUUUCCCAGAGUACAAGAUGAAUUACCUACAGACUUCUAGCAACAAGACAAAAGUGCUUCUUAUAAAAUGGACCAUCAUCAAGACUAUUAAAUAUGAAUGAGAGAGAGCCAGCAGCAUCAUUUUGUGUGGGGGAAACUGGAUCCAACUGAAUCAAUAUCAAGAAUAAAACCAGAUUUUCAGGAAAAUCCAAGCUCCUGAUUGUCAUCCUGUUAGUAAGACGGAACUAUUCUGAAUAACGUAUCAACUACAAAUCUACAUCUGGCAAUGGCACUUUCCAAAAGUUCCAGGAGUUGAAGUCUUCCUGCAGGUGUUAUGGAAAAUCAGGAUCAUCACCAAAUGUCAAAAACUAACACAAAAUGGACAAAGAACUGACGCGGAUACAUUCUUUUCUCCUAUUUACUCUAGAACUCGCAAAUUUGAGGAAUGAAUCCCUACUUACCUGCUCGACCAAUGAGGUCGGAGGGAACAUGUCGUUUACAAGAGUGUGCAAUGAUGUGUAUGAUCGGACAUCUAUAUAGUGACUAAUGGCAACCUCCCCCUGUGAAUUAAAGCAAACUGUAAGAGAGUUGAUUCUCUAAUUUAAAAGAUGAGAACUCCACAUGCUCUUCUCCUCUUCCUGGUUAAUAGACAGGCUGCGAGAAAUAUUAAUGAACAUUACCUUGGGGUUGAUGAUAAAUAUCUUCCCCUUUGGGANNNNNNNNNNNNNNNNNNNNNNNNNNNNNNNNNNNNNNNNNNNNNNNNNNNNNNNNNNNNNNNNNNNNNNNNNNNNNNNNNNNNNNNNNNNNNNNNNNNNNNNNNNNNNNNNNNNNNNNNNNNNNNNNNNNNNNNNNNNNNNNNNNNNNNNNNNNNNNNNNNNNNNNNNNNNNNNNNNNNNNNNNNNNNNNNNNNNNNNNNNNNNNNNNNNNNNNNNNNNNNNNNNNNNNNNNNNNNNNNNNNNNNNNNNNNNNNNNNNNNNNNNNNNNNNNNNNNNNNNNNNNNNNNNCUCUAUUUCCAAAGCCCGCAUAAAAUGGAUUGUAAUCAGAUGGGAAGAGCUUCUUAAUAUCCUGAAAUUGUUUUUUCGAAAAAUGAGAUUGAAGAUUUGCCUAUAUAAGCUGUACUUAUUUCAGAUAGAGGAAGGAACAAAAUCUUUUAUUAUCAGUGUUUACCUCCAAACAUGCAAUCUUGAAUUCAUGAGGUGCUCUUCUUAUAACUGCCAUCGAUGCAUGAACAAGAAACAAAUAAUCAAUCAUACAGGAUUUGGUGUUUAAAGACCAGCAAAAUGAUGAUUUGAAACACAGAUAAUAACAUUUUUAAUAUAUAAAGGGUUAUGAUGCAACAAAGAAUGGAGAUGUUAAUGUGCUGCCUCUAAAUUACAUAGAGAAACUGAAACAAGUCAUAGCAUAUAUUACCACAUAACCAAAGUCAAAAGUAUAGUGCUUGAUAGUAAGAAGCACAAGGCAGUCAACUAUUAAAAAUAGUGAUCGUUGUGAUCCUUAUAGCAUACUAAUGUAUAAUCUCUCCGCAACAUACUAUCAAAUCUUAGUGCUUAAUGGUAUCCUUCUGACUUAGGGAGUUGCUCAAUGAACCCAUAGAUAUUUUUGACUAGACUUGAAAAGAAUGGAAAGAGGUUGAAGCAAUCAAGAGCAAGGGAUGUUUUCAAACUUUCUCCUAUAUCAUCAGAGCAAGGCUGGAUUUAAGAAAAAAAAUAUACAAAACAAAACAAAAUGGAUGUUGCAUCCAAAACAGCGACCGCAUAUGAGACUUCAAGAGGGAAAAACUCAUAUUUGCCUCUACUUAGGUUUGUUUUGGCCAAAAACCCUCUCCUUAGGCGGAUAUUUCGAGAUUUUCUAGAAUUAAAUAGGAAAUUUUGGGCAAUCCUUAAUCCCCCCAUGCACUUACCCAUGCCAUGGGUCGGUCACAAGCACAUAAGCCCCAUGCACCAGUUAUCAUGGUAUGCAAGGAAUGACAAUUGUCUUUUCUCAAUUGGAUUUUUGUCCUCUUUCUUGAUUUCUGGUCCCCGAUUGGGGUGUUCUUCACUAUGUCUUCAAAUAGUUCCUUAGCGGCAGCAUUGUAAGAAGUGAACCAAAUCCAAGGUCUCCCUGAAUUUUCAUCGUCCCCAAGAAUUAGCGUGCAGUGUCUUCUGCCCCUUUGUUUUGAAUGUUGGUAAGAAAACGAGGCUUUGAAUAAUAGCACUAGGAGCCUAAGUUUGUUUGAUUUAUGCCAAGCAUAGUUGCUCCCAAAAAGUACUACUGGUCAUUUGAAGAAGGAACUACAUGCCUGGCAUACUGUAGUCAAGAUUUAUCUUCCUGGAGAUAGGGAAACAAUGUCAUCAUACAACCUCUGCCCCAGCUUAUGACGCAAAGUUGAUGUUCAGAGCAAGAGGAUGCAUAAAUGCAAGUCUUCACUGAAAUUCCAUGGAAUCUAAUGUUGCUAACAUGUGUGCCCACCUUGGUUCAGGCAAAGAAACAUGAGUAUGUCAAGUUUUUGUAUGCUAGGAAAAAAAAUUAUCGAAUACUUUGGUAAGUUACAGGGACGCUAGGAGGAACUAAAUGUUGUUCAACCUCCACAGCAGUUGUGAAGGCUAUGCAGAAGUAGCAAUAGCAGUUAGUGACUAUGCAUUUGUUGGCAUGACUGAAACCAAAAUUUGAGCCUAUAAAAUCACAAAUGCUUCGAAGUAUUAAACUUCCUCCUUAUGCUGACCAGGUCUUUAUCUAAGAAUGCCUCCUCUCAAAAUAUAGUUACUAGUCUUUUUUGGUUGUUCAUGAGGUUGAGAAGACUAAGGUGAUCAUUAUGGCAGUGGUAGUUGAGGUGGUCAUGGUAGAGGUACACCAUGACGAUGCUAUGAUGUUGGCAAAGAUGAUCAUAAAUGUGAUCAAUAUUGAUAGUAAAUUGGUAGACCACCUUGCACAGCUAACCUCGUCAUGAGCAUGACUGAACCACGAGGCCCUUGCAUCUCUAGCAAUUAAGCAUGAAAUAUGAUAAUUCAUAAAGAAGACUUCAAAUUCCAUCCAUAUCAGGCACCAUAAUAAGCUUUCACUUGAUAUGUCUCCCUAGCCCAUUCAAUGAGCUAAGAGUCCUUCAAUUAGUACAUUCAAAUUUUUGAGUCCUAGUCCAAGGAGCCAGCACUUUCUAAUUUGGGCUGAAAAAUUGUGAUUAGAAAUAAAUGAAAAUGUGGGAACGAAACCCCUGAAGUAUAGUAAUUUUGAAUUUUAUUUUUGACGAACUACUAUGAUUUCACUCUUGUAAUUUAGUUUCAGUUUUUAACACAAAUUAUGAUUGCAUAUCGUAACCUUUUUUUUACCAUUAACUUUACAUUAUUCAGAAAGAACAGCCUAAAGAGAAAUAGGACACUAGAGAGAUUUUAUUUUAUAUGAAUAUGUUAUAAAUGUUUUUCAAAUAAGAGAAUUAGAUUUUACGUAAUAUUAUGUAUAUAUAUAUAUAUCAGAUAACUACAUAUAUUCAUUAUUUAGUUAUAAAAGAAGAGAGUGAGGCCUCUAUCUAAUAUAUUUUUCGAGGGAUGAUUACUGGACAGUACUUAUAUAUACACAGUAUAUAGAUUUUUAGUACUGAUUUUUCAAUAAUAACUUUUUAUUUAAUUGGAAAUCAUUCAAAAGUAAUCUGCGUAUCUUCUCAUUUCUAAUGCAAUACACCAUUUUCACUCUUUUACAACUUUCAGUAACUCAAUUUGCAUCACAUGCUUUGCCCACAGACCACAAUAACAAAAUGUUGUUGCCGAACAAAAAAUUCAGCACUGGACUAAAAUCACUUGUACUUUAUUGAUUCAUAUGGUGUUCCCAAGACUAUGAGUGAUACUAUUCUUACUGCAUGCUAUGUUAUUAUUAGUCAAAUGCUUUUUUCUGUUUUUUGCUUUUUCCCCUUCAUAUCCACGUAUCUUUGGCCGUGUUUGUUUUGUUCACCACUUACAACCCGGAGGUGACAAGUUAAAUCAUAAUGCUCUUAGAUGUGUUUUUCUUGAAUAUCCUGGUUCUCAAACAGGUUAUUGUGUUGCAUCCUUGAGCUAAAUUCGGUUAUUCACAUGUGUUUACAUUUUUCAGUCAAUUUCCUUUUCUGAGGCACAUACCAUUACCGACCUCCAUUGUCUUCCUUUAUUGGCUUCCAACCCCAACCCUGCUAACCGUGUGUUCCAAUUUGUAGAUUUAUACUCAAAGGCCCCAAACAGAGGUAGCCAAUUACAAUACAACAUAUGCUCUAGCUUAAAGGGUUGUGUGAGAGUAUAAGACAAUAUUUUUCUCUAUAGAUGCUUCCCAUAUAUUAUUUUCCUAUACAAGUUGGUCUCCUAAUGAAUGUCAUAGACUCAAAAGGUCCCGAUAAAAUCAUGCAUAAUUUCUCCGCAACAUAUAAUAAAAUCCUGGUACUCAAUAAUAGAAUUAAAACUUACAAAUUUGUAUUUCUAGAUUGUACAUUCAGGGAAUAAUUUCUUUUUAAAAGCCUUGCACGAUAUGUAAUUUCUUAGAACAUUAAUUGACUAAUAAAUACCUCUGUAACUACAGUGCAAGAUAAAGAUUUAGAUAAAGAAAAUGGUUUUCUGAAAGUAAGAUCUAACCUUCACGGUACAAUGAGGGAAAUAAUCCAUCUGGUGAAAUAACGACAGGCCCAUUUGGUAGAGCUUUUCCAUCCUAAAAAAAGAAAAGUGAUCACCUCAGAAUUCUGAUUAUGCAGUCUAGUAAAAGUAAAACUGUAAAACAAAGCUGAAACCCAAGAUACAGCAAGGAAAGAAAGACCAAACCAGAGUCAAUCCUGCUAGAGUUUAGACAAGCAGACUUGCAAAAAAUGUAAGGGCAGAUCAACAAAUUAGUCUCUGAAGCUUGAAACUUAUUACAAUUUGAUUCAUAAUAUUUCUUCCGUUAUAAUUUACUCUAUGAUGUUUUUUAUUUGUUUCAAAUGUUCAAUUUUCUUCCAUUUCCUAACUGAAAAAACUAAAAUAAUUAAACCAUGUUUAGAUGCUUUAAAACAAUAUCUCAAAAAUGACUUUGACUAUUUCAUAAAUUAAUAACAAUAAAAAAUAUGCCUAAUGUUAUCAUUAAUUUAUUAAUCAUUAAUUUAAUUAAUUAGUUAAAAGUCAAUUUUUUGAGUUAUUUUUUAAAGCUUCCAAACAUGUCCUAACCAUUUUAGUUUUUCUAUUACAAGUUAGAAGGAAACUAGAUAUUUGAAAUAAACAGAAAAUAUCAGAGACCAAAUACUAACGAAAAAAUUAUUAAGAAUUAAAUUGUAACAAGUAUUAAAUGUUAGGAACUAAUUUGAUAAUUUGCCUAAAAUGUAAUAGAAUUAUAUUUUAUAGGUGAUAAGAACCCAAUCACCAAGUAAAAAACACAACUGCACAUGGUAGUUCACUUGAAUAGGCUAGAUCCCUUUAUCCUGGAAGAGACUUUAGAACAUAGUUGCUUUGACUUCCUUCACUUGCCACACAAGGCAAAGGAAACAGUAAUAUAAAAAUAAGCAGAUAAAAUUCAAAAAAGCACAUUAUUCUAGUACCUGUUUCAGAUUCAGUAAAAAGCUUCUAGUUAAAUAUGCCUGAACAAUUGCACGGGCACUCAGAAACAGUAGUUGAUAUCCAUUCUCCUGCAGUAAACACAAAUUUUAAUAUUUGAUAUCAAUUUACACUCAAAAUCCAUUUCAUUCUACUCGACAAGCGUUUCAUAGGUAACUCAACUAUCUUUACUUCAUAUAUAAAAAUUUAGAUCAACCACAAUCAAUUGAAUAAUAUCAGGGCCAAAAAACCUCAAACAUGAUUCAUAUUGCUAGAAGAAUAAAUUAAAAAGUAAAACGGUAUUGCUCUUGUCAUUAUUUUUAAGGAAGGGCAGGUAGUAUUUAUAUGAACAUUCAUGAAUAUGUAAACUAAAAACAUAAUUAACCGCAUAAAAUGUCAACUCUAAGGAAAAGACUGUUUGAGAAAUACCAUAUCAUUUUCUAUUAGACUAUAUAGAAAAUACUCCUCUCGUAUAACAAUUCCCCCUCAAGCAAAGCUUAUAUGAGCUCUCAUCUUCUUACAUAUAAACAGAAGUAAACAAAAAUAAAUAUAUAAAACUAAACAAAUAGAAUUAUUUGGACAAUUCCACGAACAACACAUAAAAUUUCAACUCUAAGGAAAAGACUGUUUGAGAAAUACCAUAUCAUUUUCUAUUGGACUAUAUAGAAAAUACUCCUCUUAUAUAACAACUCCCUCUCAAGCUAAGCUUAUAUGAGUUCUCAUCUUCUUACAUAUUUUUUCUUGAGAUAUCUCAUCAUCUUACAUACAAACAGAAGUAAACAAAAAUAAAUAAAUAAAACUAAACAAAUAGAAUUAUUUGGACAAUUCCACGAAUAACUUGCAAUACGAUUGACAAGCUCCACAAACCACAAAUUUCAAGCAAGCUCAAUCAAGAAUUAACUUGUUACACGUCACCAACAACUCGGUACCAUAUCUUAUGGAAAAAAACAACUAUAGCCAAACCUUUUCUCUUUUAUGCCUUCUUUAUAAAAGCAAUAAGCUUUUUAGUCCCUUUGACCAAUAAGCUAAAAUGGUUCACAACUUUUGUGGGACAGCUUGGCUUCACUUCGUUGAGUGAAGCUCUAGUGUUGUUAAUAACAAUUUUUUUUGGGAAGCUAAUUCUUCAUACCCUAUGAGAAAAAUCUUUAAAGAUCACAAUAAAUAACUUUUGUGGGACAAUUAGUCCUCUCUCCUAACAAGAGGCUCCCUAAUUCUCUCAUGCAUAUUAAUUGGAUUUUAUGAAUGAAUGGAAAAGCAUAUUAUUUAUGAACAACGAGUGUAAAGUUACUUGUCAACAAACAUAAAGGACAUCCUAUUAUGACAUAACAAACACUAAGACUACCUGCAAUGAGCAAUUUAUAUCUAGAUCUUUUGAUUGAAUGAAAAUUAGACCAAAAUGAGAUUGCACACUAACAUGAAAGAUGUCCAGUAUUGCAUGACAAACACUGGGAAUCCCUGUGCAACAAACAUAAAAGACAUCCUAUAUGACAUGACAAACACUAAGAAGUAAGAGAGCAGCAAAGUAUUUUAUUUACAGUUCUCAGAAAGAUGGAUAGCCAAUAGAGAUGGAGAAGUUCAUUCAGGUCAAGAGUUAAACUUUUUCUUUUCAUUAUUUUAUUUCUGAGGAGGAGACAAGGAAACACACCUUAAUUGCUGAGAAAAGCCUAGCUACACCAGAUUGUGUCCAAUCCUUUCCAACUAAAGGCAUAAAUUGACCAAGAACAUCAGACCUGAAAGACAUAUGUCAAGGUUACUAAAAAAUAAAAAAUAUAGAUUUAAUUACAGAAAAUUGAACAUCCUUGGACAAAAAUUUUAAUGCACAGAGAUUCAGAUGCCAUACUUUGUAAUUGUUCCAUCCACAUCUGAAAUCACAAUGCGUGCAUUCCAUUUCCACAAGUAAAUAUGAGCAUCAACCUGUUAAAGAUGAAGUGGCUUAGCAACUAAAACUAGAAAUAACCUACUCUUUAGUUUAUUGUUCAGAUAAAAAGACAUUUGAAAAGUAUAUGAUCAGCAAACCUGCUGGGUUCCUAGAACCCUUGUAGAGAAACUAAAAGUUAUCAUAUUCUGACCAUCCUUCAGAUUCAGUGAUGCUAUCUGCUCGUUAGUUGGAACAUUUGUCCUAAUAAACUGCUUGUGAGGAGAGUCAUUGUGGCUCUCAGAUGUCGGAGUCACUUCUGCCUGUGAGUUCAGCAGACCACAUUCAGAAUCAACAAAUACCUCCUCACUUGAUGAAGUACUGCUUGUGUGCUCAAGUGUUUUGACCCUUCUAAAUGGAAUUGGCCAAAGCCGCCAUCUUCGUCUAGUAGAAGUGGGAGUGCUAACAGAUUCAUCAUCCUUAGGUUUCGAUAUAUUAUCCUGUUCCACAGGAAUGGCAUCUUCAGGGUCGACAGGUAAAUCAAGGCCGAAUGCAACCAUGCCCAGUACAAGAGGAGCAGCUUUAUCCCAUGGCAAGUACCUCUCCCCAACUCUAACAACAAGGUCGGAAUUGUUAAGUAUUGAUGCUGCUGAACUCUUAUAUUCCUCUGGUAAUAUGCGAUGUGCAUCAAAUACUUCAGCAGCGGCCCUCAAGCCCAUUCCUGCAUGAAGUUCAUUCCUGCAAAGAGAUAUCUCAAACCCUGAAAACAUAAAAUAAAUUAUAGGAAGUAAGUAGUCAACCAGAAUCAUUAAAUGAUUGAAGUAAACCAGCAAAAGUCCUUACUCUGGCUUGCAUGACCUUGCAUCCCAUCUGNNNNNNNNNNNNNNNNNNNNNNNNNNNNNNNNNNNNNNNNNNNNNNNNNNNNNNNNNNNNNNNNNNNNNNNNNNNNNNNNNNNNNNNNNNNNNNNNNNNNNNNNNNNNNNNNNNNNNNNNNNNNNNNNNNNNNNNNNNNNNNNNNNNNNNNNNNNNNNNNNNNNNNNNNNNNNNNNNNNNNNNNNNNNNNNNNNNNNNNNNNNNNNNNNNNNNNNNNNNNNNNNNNNNNNNNNNNNNNNNNNNNNNNNNNNNNNNNNNNNNNNNNNNNNNNNNNNNNNNNNNNNNNNNNNNNNNNNNNNNNNNNNNNNNNNNNNNNNNNNNNNNNNNNNNNNNNNNNNNNNNNNNNNNNNNNNNNNNNNNNNAAUCAGAGAUUUGCCUCCUGAACAUUGAGUCUCCAAAGUGGAACUUGUGUCUUGAAAAUUGUUUCCAGUACACUGGUCUGGUUCUGGUAGCUCCGAACAGCUAUUACAAGCAUCUCUUUGCUCAACUCUAGCAAUAUGAUCAUUUGGAUCACAACAAAUAUGAAAAUCUACUUCCUGGUUAGCUACAUUCUGAGAUUCUGAAGUUUGAAACAUAUGCUCCUCUACUUUGGAUACUUGCAGCUGGUGACUAAAGAGAUUAUCAUCAUUCUUCAAGCUAGAAAAUUUAUUAGAUGCAUCAUUAGCUGUAGAUGAAUUCAGCUGGUUGAUAUAAUCAGCUGUCCAUACAUCAUCACCUGAAGUAAAUUCCUCAUUUCCCUCACAGAACUCAGUUCCUUCACCAGGGCCUAGAUGGAAUUGAGGUGUACUUAGUUGCACAUUUUCAGGAUCAUCUUCUGUGGCCGAGAGAGGGGCUGUCAGAAUAUGACCAUCCACACUCACCAAGACAACUUCUGAGUUCAAACCCUGUGAUUCCCCAAACUGCUCACCCUCUAAAUUUUCAUAUCGACCAGACCCAUAUUCUGAUACAACUGAACCCUCCAAAGAAGACUUCCUAUCUUCAAAUUCAUAGUACCUUCGGUUACCAUCAGAUUCCGCCCUCUGAAUCCGAUUUCCACCUGAAGAAUCAAAUUCAUCUCGCAACAAACCAACCCCAGAAUCUGAAACACUAUGUUCAAGUCUACAAACAUCAGCAUUGCUUUCAUUGUUAUUAUGACCAAAACUAUCAUCUUCAUUAGUAAAAACCCCACUAUCAGAAUCUUUACAGUCAGAAUCUUUUAGGUCACCAUCUAGGUCAUUUCUUUCGCCAGAAUCAACCUCCCUAAUAAAAUAUGCUUCGCCAGAAUUAUCAAGAUACAUAUGAAAAUUAGCUUCAACACCAUUGACAGCUAUACGAACAAUCUUCUCAGCCCCCUUGAUAACACCCUGAAAUUUACCAAACCGAACAUACCAAGGUGUGCUACGGAAAGUCCCAUCUUGCUGCUGAACGACAAUCACAUCAACAGCCCCACCAAAAGGGUGGAAAGGGGUGGCAACAGAGUAAACACCUUGUGUAAUCAGACUCCCAACUCUACCCACCACAUUCAUUUUCCCAGCUACAAAUAAUGCUCGCGAAGUCCUGGAAAAAUAAAAGACUUACUGAAAAAAAAAUAUUUAAUAGGAUUUACUUAUUAGUAUUGUUUCUCAAUUUAAAACAAAAUGAACUUUUCUUCUAAAUUAUUUUUCCCUGUUUUACACAUUAGAUCCUAUUUCUCCUGUUUAUCUGCUUCCCGUUUAAAACUAUACAUAAAUAUGCAUCUCAAGGAAUAAGAGGUAUCACACAAAUUAAUCUCUUAACAAAUAACAAAAUUAAAUUCAAACAACAGUGCAAGCUAAACUAAAACCCUAGUUAUCAAUUUGGCUGGUAAGAAAAUAAUGGGAAAAGAAAAAAAGAAAAGAAAGGAGAAAAGAAACUCAUCAUCUUUAAGCGACAAGCACAUGUCAAUCUUCAAAUUCGAGUUAGCAACUAAGUAUCCCCAUAUUGUGCAUAGAAAAUUAAGCAGAUGAAGAAGAUGCAACCUUGAAAAAUUUCUAAACAUCGAAUAAAUUCUUUCUCCCAUUUCCAAUAAACCAAACGGAUCAUCCACAUUCAUUUCCAAAACAAAACGCACAAUAGGAAAAUCAUACACCGCCUAAAAAGGAAACAUCAUAAUGAUUUGUUUAGAUCAUUAUAUCGGCGGUUAAACUUACAGAUUCAAAGUUUCUUUUUUUUUUCCUUUUUUUUUUACCAAAAUCCGAGCAAAUCCUCGCUCCGAGAAAUGGAGAACGGUACCAAUCUCACAUCCAUGACUCGAAAGACAAAUUCUCUGUUUCUCUCUUCAUCUUCCUCAUUGAGGUUCCUCAAUAUUCUUGAAUUUUCUCUUUCUUUUUCUUUUUCUUUUUCUUUUUCUUUUUUUACGUGUGAAAUAAAAAAAAAAAAAAAAAAGAAGAAAGAAAUUUAAGGUCGUUAAAUUUUCUUGGGAGACUUUGAAGUUUGGACUGGUAGAAGGACCUGUUUGGAUAACCGAAAUAAUGAAAACGAGAAAAAUCGGAAUCAGAAAACCGUCCAUGUCGAGUAAUAAAUAGGUAAUCCUGAAGAUAAAAUGUCCAUUUAGUUCUGAAUUUUACUCUAAAUUACAGGAUAUGCCAUCGGCUUUACGUUGUAAGUAAAUUACAGUCA